rnacentral:lncRNA from 1 species
GAAAAGAGUUGUUCUUGCUGCCAAACCAAUAGUUGAGAAAGCUGUACGGGAAGUGUGCAUAGAUCUUCAUCCUCAAUCAAUGGUCAUUGCUGACCUUGGCUGCUCCUUCGGUGCAAACACACUCCUCUUCAUCUCUGAGGUGAUCACCACAAUAUAUGAGGACUAUAACAACACCAUCAAGGAGAGCCCCAUGGAGGUCCAGUUCUUCCUCAAUGACCUACCAAGCAAUGACUUUAACCACAUCUUCCAAUCACUAGAGCAGUUCGAGCAGUUGAUAACGCAAUAUUGCGCUUGCAAAGGGUUACAACCUCCCCCGCACUUUGUCGCAGGCCUGCCAGGUUCCUUCUACACUAGACUCUUCCCUUGUAAUAGCGUCCAUCUCUUCCAUUCCUCCAUGAGCGUCAUGUGACUCUCUCAGGUGAUGCUUAUUUAUUUAUGUCUCAUUGCAUAAACUAGCUAGCUUAAUUAGGAUCCUAAGUUAUUGAACUUUGGGGCUUUGCGCUCACCUAAAACGUUGGUUGUUUGGAAAGGUUCCUGAGCAGCUUGAUGGCAGCAUGAAUGAGGGGAACAUUCACAUAGGAGCGACUACACCACCAUCCGUGGCAAAGCUCUACCAAAAUCAGUUUGAGAAAGACUUCUCACGGUUCCUCCAGAUGAGAUGCAUGGAGAUUGUGCCCGGAGGCCGGAUGGUGCUGACGGUUGCUGGGAGGAAGAGCAAAGAUGUGUUCAAUGCAGGAGGGACGACCACGAUAUUUGAUUUGCUUUCACAAGGGCUACGUAUUCUUGUUGCUGAGGUAUAAUGUACAUGACAUGAGUAUACCACAUUAUAGUUUAAACCAUAAUGAUAUCCUCGAUAGAAAAAGUAAUUAAUUUCCUUGUUUACCUACUCCCAUAUUAUAAAAAAAGUGCUAUAGAUACUUAUUCUAAAGUUUGAAUUGUACUUUGGUACUUAACAAAAUUUUAGUUAAAAUACCUAGCAUGUGAAUCAUGUUAAAAUAUUCUUGUGCACACACACGAGAAAUGCUUAAAAGUAUGAACAUAUAUAUGGGAAAGAAAAAUACUUUUUGUUUCAAGUAAAGUUGACCAUUUAAUAUUUGUUACUCUUUAUACUUGUGCAUUGUACUACUGCUAAUACAAAUAGUAGCAGUAACAAUCUGAUCCUGUUUGGAAGGGUUUCAAUUCAUUGGACAAUUAUAUACCCUGUUGGUUUUACUCUAAAAAUUGGACAUUUUGCUUGUCACGGCUUUGGAACGUUUGACAAUGUAAAGGAAACGUGCAAAAUUAUGAACAUAUACAUGUGUGCCGUGGAAAACAAAUAUAUUUUUUGUCAAAUGAAGCUACCUAGUUAAAUGUUUUUGUUUGUCCAAAUAGUAUAUACUGGGCUUAAACUAAUUACAUGUACAUUUUUUUAGUUUGAAGGACAAUAAAAUCCAACAAUGUUGAUAUAGUCAAACACUCAUACAUGGAAAAUAUAUUCUCUUAAUUAUUGUUUAAUUAAUUUGCAUUUGCAUACACAGGGUCGUGUUGCCAAGGAGAAGCUGGACUCUUUCAACAUUCCAGUGUACUGCCCUUCAGCUGAUGAGCUGACGCAGCUGGUGCAGCAGUGCGAGCUGCUUGACAUAAGUGACAUUCAACUCUUCGAGAUGGAUGAGAACCGCAUGCAUGACUCGGAGCAAGCAGAGGGCACCACCGCCGCUCACACAGCGGGACAGAGCAUGUCUGCAACUCUAAGGGUGGCGACAGAGUCCCUGGUAGCAAGCCAUUUUGGGGAGGACAUACUCGAGGAGAUCUUCACGGUGUUUGCACGUAAUUUCACUAGUUAUAUUGAGAGUGAGGUUGAGAAAAGUGGCAUCACCAUCAUCACACUGUACUUGCAGGCAAAACACUAGCUAGAUAAUGGUACUAUACGGUAGAGUGUCAACAAUAUAUCCUGGCAGAGAAACAUAUAAAGUUUAAAUAUAAGGUGAUUUUAUAGAGUAAAGUGCGCUCAUGGUAUGCCAGCUUGGCAAGUUCGGUGAAAGUUAAUGCAAGAAAUUGAAAAUAAUGUGGUGUGAUAUGAUGCAAGAUGGUGGGUUCUUUGGUGUUAGGAGAAUAUGUGCAUCUAAUUCUCCCGAAGCUCACAACUUCUCCUACAAGAUUAUGUUAAGCAAAUGAUAACAUCAGUAUCUCCAAUAACAAAUAGAGAUACACUUCGAUAAAAAAAAAACAACUAGAGAUGCACUUCCCAAUUAAUAAGAGCAAGCUUAUGAGGCUUUUGGCCUUUUGGUUGCUCACUUGGUAAGAUGGAUCCCCAUCUUUGUAUUAAUUUCUAAUUAAAGUCUCUCCUAUAAGCAGAAUCUAUAAGCCCCAAAAUUAAUCCUAAAAAUGCAAUAAAUUCUCACAUUAGUCAAAAACAUUAAAUCAACAAUGUCCAUUUAUCCAAUCUGUUGAUCUUCUAGCACAAAAUAUAUGGAUUUAUUAAAACAAGAAUUAAUGAAGCUCCUGCUUUUUUGGUUUUGACUAUUAAUUACUCCCUCCGAACCACUGAAUAAGGCACAAAUGUAUUUUAAGAUUCAACUCUUUAAAUAUUUGACCAAUAACUAUUUUAUUAUAACUUCAAAUUUAUUUGAUGAAAAUAAUAUCACUGGAUCAGUGGCGGAUCCAGAAAUUUAGUUCGUUGGUGUCAUAACGUGUCUAUCGGUGUCAUAGCAUGCUAACUAUAUUUAGAAUAUAGUGUUAUAAUAUAUGGAUAGGCGGUUUAAGCAUAGCUUGCCAAAAGUCGUCGGUGUCGCCUGACACCAGUGGUAUUACUGUAGAUGCGCCCCUGCAUUAGAUUGACAUUUGAAUUUACUUUCCUAUGAUUAUGAUUUUGUUGCUACAAACAGUUGUAUAAGAGAAAUUUAAUGUAAAAGAUUAGUUUUCGAGUCCGUGAUAAGUUCAAUCAUGCCUUAUUUAGUGGGACAGAGUGAGUAUAAUUUUUUUAUGAUUUAAUAAUACACGCAAAGUGAGCAUAACUCAAUUGGUUAGGAAAAACUCUAGAGGCGACAGUAAAGCACAAGGGACCUGGCCAUGGCGAUUGGGUCUAGGGUGUAAUGGGGAUCCGACCCGGUAAGGUGAGAGCUAUCAUGCUUGGUGCACUGCUACCUUUCCCAGUUUCUUUCCUGAUCUUCUCAAGUCAUGGCUUGCCCUAGAAUCACUAGCGCCACUUCUCAAAACACUUUCUAGCAUCUUCGAAGGCUAGAGCAAUGCGAGUUUGGGUAGAGGAAUAUUGCCCGAGAGAAGGUGUUACAGUGGAGACAUUGGAGAUGGAAAGGGGAUGGGAUGGGAGAUUCACAAGGUUUUGCAACGGUGGUGAAGGUGGUGGGGAAAGCUCCAAUGGCGGACAUAUUCCGUUCAAGCAUGUGACAUCCACACCACUCCCCCUUCCAAGGGGAUGUGUAUCGAGGUGGAGGAGGUGCAUAGGGCUUGGGAAGAGGCCCUCCACCACCACAGCCGCACAAUUUACUGGGUGUUGGCUUGAGAGGGUGGGGGGGGGAUAAUAACACCAUGUAUUAUCAUGGCAAAGCUAAUGGUGGGAAAAGGAAAGACAUAAUAACAUAUGGAGAACAGGAAGAAGGGAUAAUUAAAGGGCAGUAGAACUUGUUGAAGUAUAUCACAGAUUUUUACAAAAACUUGUUUAGGUAUCUAGAACACGCCUCAAUGAAAAUAAAUCUGGGAGUAAUGAUCCAGUAUGGAGAAAAGCAAAAAAAAAAUUGUUUUUGAAGGAGUAAAUUGCAUUGCCGGUCCUUAGAUUUGUUCGUCCAUGUCAUCCAGGUCCCCAAACUCUCAAAAAUGUAUUUUUUAGGUUUCCGAACUUGUCAGUGUUUGUCAUUCUAGUCCAAAAUUGCGAAAACCUCUGCGGGAUCCUACGUGGUGCUCAUGUAGCAUGCCACAUGGAUGUUGAAUUACUUUCUUUAUCUUUUUUUCUCUCCAUUUUCUUCUAUUCUUCGUACACGUUUGUUGACGGCUGUUAAGUACAAAAUUCUCACCGUCAAUACCUGUAUAAGACCAUAAAAGUAAAACAUCCAACAUAGUGGUAGGAUUUAUUUCUAACCAUUUUCACGAGUGUUAAUGUAUAUUUGUAUGUAGAAUACAACCCACCAAAGUUGAGAUGAAAUGCAAUAUAACUUCCAUAUCCAAGCCUAUGGAGUUUUGAGCCCAGAAACCCAAUAAGAUACAUUUAUCUUGGCCAAUCUUCAGUGGAACAUAUAGUGGCACCCACAUGUCAGAACACCAGAGAAAGGGCUGGGCUGGAUGGGCCAGCCAGGGUUCGGCCGAACCCCUGGUUCAGCCAAACCAGCAGGUGGCCCAAUCCAGCCCAACUUCGAUAUGACGGUUGUGCUCCUCAUCCUAUGACGGUUAUGAGCAUUAAUACCGGUGGAACCCAUCAUCAACAGGUCACAUGGCAAGAGGAGAAGAAAUAUGCUCUUUGGAUACUAUGGAGAAUAUUCCAUAGCAUCUCCACUCUCUCAAGUCACCUCUACACUAUAAAUACCCCUCUUUUCUCCCUCAUUCACAAACACUUGAAGCAUAAGCUAAAUUAUAAGAGGCUCUAAUUGUACUUUAUUGUAUACUAGAUUAGCGAGAGAGUAGAGUAGAAGAAGUCGGAGGAGUUCCGGAGUUGUUGGUAAUCCUCUUCCUAUUUCAUUCUGCUCUGUUUAUUACUCUGAUUAUAAUUGAAAUAUCUUUUGAGUAAUUUAGUUUUGCUCAGUGAGAUUUAUUUCUUGGUUAGUUCCUAAACAGAGUACGGGAUCAUCGUUCACUAUAGUCAACUAAAAUAUAGUGAUUGCUUUAGUGACUUAUAAACACUAGAGUAGUUAUUAACUGCUUAGACGCGGUGUCUAGAUAGUUGAUUUCUGGUGUUUGCUCCGCAUCCCACAAUAGGUGUGAGGUCGGUGUAGAGGUGGUGACAACCGUCAAUAUCACUGAAGUCCUCCCUAUCCAGGUGCGCAGUAGAGCGAUAUCUGGGAGUAGCGAGCUAGCCAGUGCCCAAAGUACCACAUUAGGAUUAAAGUUAAGCUUUCUGUAGACAUUGUUUCUUACCCGUGAAACCUCUCUAUCCUUUGCCUAUCCAUAGCUUCGUGUCCUUAGAUGAGCCUGAACCAGAGUUAGCACACACGUUCCUUGUGGAAAUCGAUACCUGAGAAUACUCCCGGGUGAAGUGCUACAUCAGUAUAUUCCGUGCGCUUGCGGAUUUAUCUAUGAUCGUAAGAAAUACCAACAAGCAUUUCUAGCGCCGUUGCCGAGGAACCUUUGUUGUCUAUCUCGGAACCUCAUUCAUCCUCGUACCCUUUUUAUUUUUCUUUCCUGUACCUUCACCCCUUCCUGUAAAACCUUCUCAACCAAUGGAGCCACAAUCUAUUUUCCAAUUAUCUGCUCCUCGGGGCGAAUUUUACGAGCCACCUCCUUCAUUAGAGCCUAUUUUAACACCUGGCUAUGAAAUUUGUCCCGAGUUCAUCAGUAUGGUUAGGGAGAAAUCUUUCUCUGGUUUAGACCAGGAAAACCCUUACUAUCAUCUGUGGGAAUUUGAGCACUUUGCUCGUGCCUUAAGAUUGGAGGCAUGAAGCAAGAGACUGUUCGGUGGAAAUUGUUUCCGUUCUCUCUUCACGAGAGAGUGAAACAAUGGUGCACAUCUACCGUCAGAUGUGUGAACGGUGACUGGGAAAAACCGCGAGAUAGAUUCUUUCCGGUAACCCGUAUCACUACUCUGUGGGUAGAAAUUCUGAGCUUACAGCAGAUAAACAAAGAAUCAAUCAGUGUAGUUUGGUCCAGGUUCACUAAUCUAGUGCAAUCUGGCCAACCUUUAUCUAUACCCGAUCAUGUGCUGUUGCAACAUUUUCAUUCGGGUCUAGAUAAAGAAUCUGCAUUCUAUCUAGACGUCACUGCCGGAGGAUCAUUCAUGCAUAAAACUCCGCUUGAAGGGAAGAUAUUAGAAAUAUGAUUGGGUCAUUCAUGCAUAAAGAAUUCAUGCUUGGGUUAAUUUGAUUGAUGCCAUUACAAAUAUGACAUAUUAGAAAAAUUCUAUUACAAUUUCCGUUAUCGGCUAGGUGCCACUAAAAAUUUCAAAAAUUGGAAUCAUGCCACUCCCGUCACUCUUUCCGUCCUGCUCUCUCACGUCGCCAUCCUCACCGUCACAUCGUGUCACUGUCGGCACCCAUGCGCCGCCUCGUCCUACCACCACCGCCGCAGCUGACCUCGCGUGCCUCCUACAUCGACGACGACGGCAGGGGCGACGACGCGCCGACCAGGCGAAGCACGGCGCCGAUGUCGUCGCCUAGUGGCUGCUGCUGUUGCUUCGGCCUGCAGAUGUUUUGUUGUUGCUGGAGAGAAUCAAGUGCGGCGCUGCUGCUGUUGUUGCCUGCCGCUGGCGUCAAGGGAGUGCGUGCUGCUGCUGCCGCUGCUGGGACAGGAGCAUGAGGACGCGGCCCUUGCUGCCGCAGCACAGCCCUCCCAAACUCCACCGCCGCCGCUGACGACCACCGCCAGCCGCGGACGGGAUACCAGAGGAAGAGGCCGUGCGUCCGCACCGUGUGCUACCUUUGCCACGGUCGCCGCCGAUGAGAUCGCGCGCCGGAAGCCCAUGGGACCACCGAGCGUCGAGCUUGAUGAUUGCGUCCUCGGACUGGAUCUCCUACAGUGCCUCGAGCGCCUUCUCGGCAUUGCUCUCCUGCCAGACUUUAGUGACGACGUUCACUAUCAGGAUGAGCUAGAUGACGAAGGGUUCCACAACGGCGGUUGCCCUGACCUCGUCGUCCUCUGCGCCAUCAUAGAGUGCGAGCACGAACGACACAACGGCCGAGGCAAGCACCAGCUUCCACACCGACGGUGCCAUGGAGGUGGUGGGGCACGUCGGCGGCGACCGUGACAGAGGCGGCGCACGAGGUGCUGCAGGUUCACAGCCGGCGGUGGUCGUCGUCGGCGGCGGUGGCGUUAGGGGUGGACUAUGACGGUGACAACGGCGACAUGAGAGAGGAGGACGUAAAUAGUGACAGGAGUGGCAUGGUUCCAAUUUUUGAAAUUUUCAAUGGCACCCAGCCGAUAACGUGGAUUGUAAUACCAUCUUUCUAAUAUACCAUAUUUGUAAUAGCAUGGACCAAAUUAACUCUUGAAAUUUAUGCAGUCUUUUUGAGGAGAACGACGGCAGGAGACCUGGCGGAAUUUCAUUAGAGGGGGGGGGGGGAAUUAAGUGCUUACAGUCCAGAGAAACUAUGAGAAACUUACACCGAUAAAAACAAAACAAAAUCGAAACUCAAGGAGGCCUAAAAGCCGAUCUAAGAAGGUCUAAAUCUUGCUUUGUAAUAUAAGCAACUUCUCUCUCCGAUCUUGUGAUAUUGUUGAAAAUUCUCUUAUUUCUCUCAAGCCAAACGUUCCACCAAGUAGGAAACAUUGCCCCCCUUACCGCCUUCUUUUGAUCUUUCGAGCCAGCACACUCAAUUGCAGACCACCAUUUUGAAACUCCGUCUAGGGUAAGGCCGUUGCUUAGCACCAAAUUCUCCCAAGCACAGACCAUGCUCCAGACUUGUCUUACAAAAGGGCAUUCGCUGAAUAAGUGAUUAGUGUCUUCAAAGGUGCUUGUGCACAAACAGCAAAUCCAAUUGCAUGGCCAGUGUAUUCGAAGUAAAUUUUGCACCGUAAGAGUUUUCUGAUGAAGAAUGAGCCAACCAAAUUAAGAAUCUUGUUUUUGGUUCAGCCGGAGCUUUCCAAAGUGAGGUGAAAUCUAUGGAAGCGAAUGAUCCCUCAAAUUGAAACAGGUAUGCACUUUUGCUUGAGUAGGUUCCUGAUUCAUUCCACUUCCAUGAGAUAUCAUCAGGGUUCGGCGUUAGUUCAACUCCCUGAAGUAAACUCCCCAACUUCACUAAUUCGUGGAGCUCUUCAACUGUUGUUAUUUGCCUGAAGGAUAUAAUCCAGUUAUUAUUUAGUAACUCUUGUUGAACACUUCUUUGCUUUCUCUUUGCCAAUUUGAAACACAAAGGUGCAAUGUCUUUGAGAAAUUUAUGCAGUUUGACCAGCGGUUUAACAACUUGGCAGGUUUAUGAGCCCUUUGUGUUAGUAGCUAGGAGAUGCCAUGCGUGCAAACUGGCCAUGUCAGCAUGCCAGCCCAUCAUCUAACUUUCCCUGAGGCCCAGACACAUUUCCUCUAAGAUUCUUUAAGCAAAUAAAAACAUCCAAUAUCUGCAACUAGAGAUGUAUACAACCCGGUACCAUCAAGCUAGCUAGCUAAAAUCAGUAAAAAUCGAACAAGAUUUCUCAAAAUUUUGAAUUUAUGUUGAACUUUUUAAACUAACUUGGCCAAUUUGGGUUUGAACUGGCUUUGUCAGUUAUGUGAACCUGUUCAGGUACAAUCUGCGUAUGAAUUUUAAUUUCAGGAGAACAAAAUCAGCAGUAACAUAUGGAGCAACAAGAACAAAUAAAAGACAGGAGGUCCUUCUUGUGACGAUUUUGCCAACAAACGGUGUAGCAUAAGGUCAAGCUUAGAAAUUACAGCAUUCUUUACUUAAAUAAAAUAAUCUGACGCGUCAAAAUUUUCUCCUGGAGACGUUAUCAUACCUUACAGAAAAAAAAAACGGAGGCUAGGUUUGACGCAUGGCAGGUAAGUCGUUGCGUUGAUCAAAGAUAUAGAUGGUGUCUCUAUCUGUACUCUGUACAAGUGGAAAGUCUAUUAGGCAAUAGAGACUUUAGAGUGGUGGUUUCUUCAGUGAUGAUACGUAAUACUACCUCCAUAUUUUAAUGUAUGACACCGUUGACUUUUUAUCCAACGUUUGACCAUUCGUUUUAUUCAAAAAAUUUAUAUAAUUAUCAUUUAUUUUAUUAUGACUUGAUUCGUCAUCAAAUGUUCUUUGAGCAUGACAUAAAUAUUUUUAUAUUUACACAAAAUUUUUGAAUGAAACGAAUGGUCAAACGUUGGUCGAAAAGUCAAUGGCGUCAUACAUUAAAAUAUGGAGGGAGUAAUUAAUUACUCCCUUGGUGCUCUUUGUCACCAGAUAUGUUGAUCUACAAACUUUGACCGCUCUUAUUUUUUAAAAGAUUUACAAAUAUUUAGAACAAUGUCGGAUUAUCAAAAUAAUGCGGAGUGCUAUGCAUGAUAAAUAUAACUGGCAUCCCUUACAACAGUGCAAUUUAAAAUAUUUUUUUAGUAAAAAUAAAAUUACACUGGUCAAUGGUGUCAAGUAUAAAAGGCUAGAUGGACACAUUCAUCGUACCUUAUGAACUUAAUUUUUAUUGUUACACACGAUGUGCCCAUGUAAAAAAAAAAAGAAAGUUGGUGUUGUACCGUGUUGUAGCUGGAAAUCGUUAGAACACUCUUGUGUGGACCCCUAAAACGUUUAAAACGUGCGUUAAUUGGUUUGAGGUGUAAGAUUUGAGCACGUAUAGGGUUUGAAAGCAAUUGCAACCGUGGGCAAUGCUCCGGAAUUAAGCACACUGAUUCAGAUUAGAAUCUAAAUCUAGCAUGCACAUAGAAAAAAGGAAUACCACAGGAAAAAUUCCUCUACAUUCUUGAAUGAAUGUAUGUCAAAGGAACCCAUCACCGUUUCUUCCAUUUCACGUAGAAAAAAGUCUAUUUUACUCCCCCAAACUAUUUCAUUAGACCCUAAACAGUCUUUUGGCUCAUUUUACCCCUAUACAAAUAAAAAAUUAUUCACUUUAAUCCUUAAUAGCAUUUCUAUGAUUUGUUACACUUUUACGAGUCUUAUUUUAAGCUAAAACUUUGUAGAGCCGUAGAUAACAUCAUUAUCAAAAUUUCAAAAUAUUAUCAAUUUUUUUCAUGAUCUAUAUAAACGGUGAUAAAAAAAAUUGUAAAAAAAAAGAGAGGUAAGUUAUAGCGCAUCUAUCAAUCGUACUAAAUUUCAUUGUCCUAGAAGAACAAAAAGAGAAAUAUCGAUAGAGAGCAAAGUGAAUCGUUUUUAAUAGUUCUUCGUGUAAAAUGAGUGAAAAAAAACUUUGGAGGUUAAGUGAUGCAUUGAAAUAGUUCAGUUGGAGACAAAUGAACUUUUUUUUUCCUUCACAUACAUGAUCCCUAACUCUUGUUUCAACAAAUCCAUUUGCAUGAACACCAAACUGGACGUGAGAUUUUCCAAGACCCACCUUAAAUGCAUCCCCAUAGUAUAACCCCAAACUAUCAACUGAUUGGCUUUACAAGUUGCAAAAUCUAUUAUGUACAUAACAAGAGGCAAUCGCCGAGGACAAUGUAUAUUAUGACCCCAGAAUCAAGCACCCUGAUUUGGAAUGAAUAACUAUCAUCGAUACAAUUUUAUUUUCUUGUUCGAAAUCGGACAUGCAUUUGGUUUCUCUAUAAAAGGAAGAAAUAAUCUCUCGUGAGCUCUCAUACUCCACACAUAACACUGUUGUUGUCUAGGCAGCAGAUAGGAACACAUACAGGGAAUUAAGCUUCUAGCCAAAGUAUCUUGCAGCCAUGAAGAUCGAGCGCGAUUUCCACAUGAUGAAAGGGGACGAUGAGUUCAGUUAUGCUGAGAAUUCAAGGAUGCAAGUUUGUACCAACUCUCUACUUUUCUUCCAUUCAAAUUCUUGAAAUUAUUGCUUCAUUACAAAUUAAACAUGCUGCCCUGAGAAAAUUGUUAAUUGUAAAUUCUAUCUCAUGCAGUACUGUAGAUUUCAUGCAUCUACUCGGUAGUAUAUAUAGAGCAUAGAGAAAUUAACCACUAACAUUACUUGUUCAUGUGCAAAUACUAACAGGACUUUAAAUUAAUUAAAGUCAUGUAUCAAAUCCAGGGGCCUACCGAAGUUGGCACAUGACAAGUGGAGUAUUUGUUUGACCAUAAUUUUUAUACUUACCAUGUCUGUCUAGAAAAGAGCUGUUCUUGCUGCCAAACCAAUAGUUGAGAAAGCUGUACGGGAAGUGUGCAUAGAUCUUCAUCCUCAAUUAAUGGUCAUUGCUGACCUUGGUUGCUCCUUCGGAGCAAACACACUUCUCUUCGUCUCUGAGGCGAUCACCACAAUAUGUGAGGACCAUAACAACACUAUCAAGGAGAGCCCCAUGGAGAUCCAGUUCUUCCUCAAUGAUCUACCUGGCAAUGACUUCAACCACAUCUUCCAAUCACUAGAGCAGUUCGAGCAGUCGACAAUACAUGAUUGCGCUUGCAAAGGGUUACAACCUCCCGCGCACUUUGUCGCAGGUCUGCCGGGUUCCUUCUACAGUAGACUCUUCCCUUCCAAUAGCGUCCAUCUCUUCCAUUCCUCAAUGAGCAUCAUGUGGCUCUCUCAGGUGAGGCUUGUUUAUAUAUGUCUCAUUGCAUAAGCUUAAAAUUAGGACACUAAGUUAUUGACCUUUGGAACUUUGAGCUCACUGGCAACGUUGGUUGUUUGGAUAGGUUCCUGAGCAUCUUGAUGGCAGCAUGAACGAGGGGAACAUUCACAUAGGAGCGACUACACCACCAUCGGUGGCAAAGCUCUACCAAAAUCAGUUUGAGAAGGACUUCUCACAGUUCCUCCAAAUGAGAUGCAUGGAGAUUGUGCCCGGAGGCCGGAUGGUCCUGACGGUUGCUGGGAGGAAGAACAAAGAUGUGUUCCAUGCAGGAGGGACAACCACCUUAUUCGAGUUGCUGUCACAGGGGCUACGCACUCUUGUUGCUGAGGUAUAAUGCACAUGACAAGAGUAUACCACAUUAUGGUUUAAACCAUAAUGAUAUUCUUUGAUAGAAAAAGUAAUUAUUCUCCUGGUUGACCUACUCCCAUAUUAGGAAAAAAACAUUAUAGAUACUUAUUCUAAAGUUUGAAUUGUAUUGUGGUACUUAUCAAAGAUUUAGUGAAAAUAGCUAGCAUCUUACUUAUUUUAGUACUUAUUCUAAAGUUUGAUUCAUGUUAAAAUAUUCUUGUGCAUGACACACGAGAAAUGCUUAAAAGUAUAAACAUAUAUAUGAGAAAUAAAAAUAUUUGUUGUUUCGAGUAAUGUUGACCAUUUAACAUUUGUUACUGUUGAUAGUUGUGUCUUCUACUACUGCUAGUACAAAUAGUACAAGAAUCAAUCUGAUCCUUCGGUUUGGAUUUUGGAAGGCUCUCAAUUCAUUGGAUAGUUAUACCAGUUGGUUUUACUAUACAAAUAGGAAUUUUUGCUUGUUACGGCUUUGGAACGUUUGACAGUGCAAAGGAAACGUGCAAAAAUAUGAACAUAUAUAUGUGUGCUAUAGAAAACAAAUAUAUAUUCAGAAGCUACCUAAUUAAAUGUUUAUGUUUGUCCAAACAGUAUAUAUUGGGCUUAAAUUAAAUACCUGUACAUUGCUUUUAGUUUGAAGGGCAAUAAAAACCAACAAUGUUAUAUAGUCAAACACUCAUACGUGGAAAACUAUUAUCUUAAUUCGUGUUUAAUUAAUCUGCAUUUGCAUAAAUAGGGUCGUGUUGCCAAGGAGAAGCUGGACUCUUUCAACAUACCAUUCUACUGCCCUUCAGCUGACGAGCUGAAGCAGCUGGUGCAGCAGUGCGAGCUACUUGACAUAAGUGACAUCCAACUCUUAGAGAUAGAUGGGAACGCCAUGGAUGACUCAGAGCAAGCAGAGGGCAUUUCAGCCACUCACACUGCGGGAGAGAGCAUGUCUGCAAGCCUAAGGGCGGCAAUGGAGUCCCUGAUUGCGAGCCAUUUUGGGGAGGGCAUACUUGAGGAGCUCUUCACGGUGUUUGCACGUAAUUUCACAAGUUAUAUUGAGAGUGAUGUUGAGAAGAGCGGCGUCACGGUCAUCACACUGUACUUGCAGGCAAAACACUAGCUAGCUAAUGGAACUAUACGAUUGUUGAUGCGAAAACACGAGGCUUGGGAGAUCUGCUUAACUCCAGUGCAGGUCCAAAAGCUUGCCUUUAGGUUCGUGAGUGUGCAGCUGAUUUGAUCCUGCAAUCAACAAGAAAUAAAGACAAAGAAACCGCGGUUAAAUCCAUAAACGAUAGCCGAUCGGCUAGUUGCCGAUAACAUAUCAUUUAUCUUUGAGCCGAUGUCAUAUGUAUAUCGAUCGGCAGUCAUGAACAAGUAAGAAAGAACUGAAUCUACUCGAUCGGCUGUAGAUAUUAAUAAUAUAUAAUCCUUAUGUCGAUAUAUACUUAAAUCAAGUGAUUGGGAUAGAACGGUCGCCAUGCCGAGACAGUAUAAAUCACUUAGAUCGAAAUAUAUAUUAAAUCAGGUAAGAUCGGCUAAAACCCCGAUGCUACACUAAUCGGCAACCAUAAAGCAGGCUAGAGAUAAGAUUCUAAUCAUGACUUAUAAGGUCAAACCCAAUUGAUGCAGCUAUAAGUAUGAAAAGAAGGACAAUAUCUAGACAAUCAAGCCGCUGGAUCUUUCAUAGAGUGGUGGAUAUCCUAUAUAAUCUAAGUCAACGUUGGUAUUUAACCUGAUCAACUGCCUUCUAGCGAUAGAUGUUAGCCGAUUGAUGGUUAAAUAACAAUAUUGCCUAAGAUUAUAUAAAAUAUAUGAUAACUCGACGAAUUACAUAAACAAGAUUAGAGUAUCAUAAAGAUGGAAGCACUAAUCCCGAGAACGCAAGCCGCCAUAACAUCUUUUACCUCUAGUUGAAGAUCGAAACCGAUGCAGCUCAACCCGAAAGCAAGAACUCGUCGAAACAAAACGAAAGUAAAAGGGUGGCGAUGCGCCGAGAUUGUAUUGAACGUGUGUUGUUGUAUUACAUGGGGCUCGGGGUCUAUUUAUACCCGAGAUUACAAAGUAUGUCCGUGUUGGACACGACUCUUAUCUCUAACAAACUCUAAGAUACCAUAAGUCUUUGCGGUAGACUUUUGCCCAAACAUAUCUAUAAGGGAAUUACAUAAAAUAUCCUAAUUAAUAGAUACAAUUGCCUUUCCAGGACCCAAUCCGUGUGUGGCAAUCCAUAUGAAGCACAUUAACACAACCCGACAACGUAUACCGAGUCGUAUUGUCGGAAUCGGCUCAAUCGGCUAACCUUGUCUGACUCAAACUCUACUGAUUAAGAUCAUAGAAGAUUCGGACUUAGCCGAUUCUUACUAUGUUUCUGAAACGAUCUUGAUCUUGGAUUCUGCUUCGAUCUUAUCUUCAUCUCUGACACUUGGAUUACCAAAUUUGGUUGUUAACACAUUCCCCCCAAGUCCGGAAUAUAUGAUAUUGUUUCGGAUUUGCGAUAUUUCAUCUCCGAGAAAAUAUCGCACUUGCCGUUUUUCCGACCGUUAUCACUCUGCUUUAAAUACUAACCGUUGUCCCCGAGAAACUUCACACUGUUACUUCCGUUUUCACCGCUUAAGCCAAACUCAUCUUCCCUCUCUCCGGCGAUUCCCUCGGUGCGCAAGGCGAUUUCAAGGCGAUCUCCUCCCCGGCCAAGUUUCCGCCCGCGGCGAUGUCGACUUCCGCCAGCCCGUCUACCACGCCAUCGGCUGAGUACGCAGAAGUAAGUGCUCAUCGGCUAGAUCCCAUCUUUUCGCAAUAGAUUGGUUUUUCCUUGCCUCAUCUUGUUUUCUUCUUCUCUAUUCUUAUUCACAUCUGUAGCACUUGUCCGAUCUGGUUGCGACUCCGAGUUUGUCACAUGAGCGUCACUAUUUUCUUGGUCCGAUCGGCAAUCUUGAUCCCACUGAGUUCAUCUCCGCCGAAACCAAUAGGAUCCCUUUUAGAUUAGCCAAUCAGAAUCUAGGUCACUGGAAAAACACCUUCAAGUCUUGGCCUUCUCUUGAGAAAACUGCCCCUGAGAAAAGCUGGGCUGUGUGGUAUAAGCGUAUAUCGGCUAGCAAGCAGGUUCACUAGGAUGAAAUCGGAAUCGGCCAGGCACUCGCCCUCACUAUAGCAAAUUCAGCUAAGGAUGAACCCCUGAUGGCUGCCGCGACCUACUUUUGGUCCAACACCAUCAACGCUUUCUUAUUCAACCAAGGGCCGAUGACCCCCACUUUGCUUGACAUUACUAUGAUCACCGAUUUGGAUGUGACCUCAUCGGCUAACCCCAUGAGUUUGAACACCAAGAACCAGUUUGACUUCAGAACUAAGAGCAAGAGGCUGGUCUGGUUAUGUAGCAGCAUAUAUGGGCAAAGGACCUGUAACUUCCCGAUAACAUGUGGCCCUCCUGCUGAUAUGGCUUGAGAAAUUCCUUUUUUAUGGAUCAAGUUGUGGCCCUACCACCAACUGGUAGUUCUUAGCCGAAGCCCUUGAUACAAAGAAGCAAUUCCCUUUGGGCAAAAUCCUUCUUGGCUAUUUGUAUCAAAUGUUGAACAACGCAUCGGCUAAGAUUGCUGUCGGCUCAGUCGUUAACGCAGGCGGGCCAUGGUGGUUGCUGCAAACUUGGCUAAACUUGGUAGCCAUGAAAGCUGUCAAUCGGCCAGCCGUAACAGAAGCUGAAUUUCCAAGAUUAGAGCCGAUCACAGAUGAUGAUGGAGAAGAGCGCACCCACCGCAGGUGUAUGUCCUAUGGGGAAUAUGCAUCCACACCAGCCGAUGCUGGAGCAAAGUUAUCGGCUGAAUUACUCAAGGAUUGGUUCUGUAGCUUUUAUGAAGGCUUCCAGAAAGAUGCUCGGGUUUGGUUCCCAUAUGAAGAUUCAGUCAAUUUGGAUCUCCCAGCAGACUUCAGAUUUGAAGAUAUCAACCAUGAGAGAUAUCAAAAGUCCAGAGAAGUCUUUGCUGCUGCUAUUAGCCCAUGCAUCCUCCCUGUCAGCAUACAUCAAGGAAGAAAUAUUCAAGUCUCCUAUGAGUUUUAUCAUCCGAUGAGCUCAGCUAGGCAAUUUGGAAUGGGACAGCUACCAAUCGGCUUGUUCUUUGCCGAUAAAAUCCAAUGCCGAGGAGACAUUUCAUCAACCCUGAUGAUGGAUCGGCUACUCAACAUCCCAGGACCUCCUUUGGCCAGCAUUGAUAACAUAGAGUUGGCCAGGUUUUGGAGCAAAAACUUUGACAGAUGGUGGGGAGAAUGGAAGCAACACAUAUUCCAUCAGUCAGCCUCCAUGUGCAUGAUAGACUUGUUCCCAGAUGUCAUUCCUCAGGUAUACCUCUGCUCUUAUCAAUCUUAUUUAAACAACUAUUAGCCGACUUGAAUCUUGAUUAACUUUUCUCUUUACCUUGCAGACAACAGAAUCUUCUCCUCCCCGCAAGAGCAACAGUGGCAGGGAUAUAGAGUAUGCUCCAGGCCAUUUGCCAAACGGUGGUGGAUUGACCCCUCCAGUCAUUGGCUAUCAUGCCCCCAAGACUUCAAGUCUGCUUCAAGGGCAGAUGAGAGAACCAGCCGAUGUCGGCAGGAAGAGAAAGACCAAGGCAUCGGUUAUAGAUCCAUCGGCUCUGGCUCCCAAAAAGAAGAUCAAGAAGAAUAAGCCUAAGCCAGCCGAUGACUUGCCUGCCUUAGAUCCAUCCAUCGGGCAAGCCUUGGAUGAGGAAGAGAUUGAAGAGGAUGUUGAUCAAGCUGCAGCCGAAGUAAGUGAUACAAAAAAAACUCCAUCGGCUUCACCUAAGUGAACUCCUCCAACUCCUUCUGCUCCAGCUCAUUUUUCAAGGGUAAAUCACUUAUAUUAAUUUCCCCUUGCAAUCAUUUUAUUCAUAGCCGAUUACUUAUAAAUCUCGUUUUUGCAGAAAAAGAAGACUGCUGUGAGGAAGAAAUCGGCAGCAACAACACUUAAACCAGCUACACCAGUAAGAUUGUCGUAUAUAAAUCCUCUCACUUAUCUAAUCACAGCUGAUAUUUACAUAACACUUUGUUUUUUUGCAGCCUCCUCGUCCUCCUUCACCACCUGUGCAAUAGAUGUCAAGUGACCGUACCCCAUCGGCUACAGGAAGCCACUAUGUUGAAGAAGAGGAACAACCAGCCACUCCUGCCAUCCCAAUAAGUCCUUCAUUGACAUAAGAACCUAGAUCGGCUGAAACUGUUUGAUAUUUGACUAUCUUCGAAUUUCUCUGUUGCAGGCCUUAGCCGAUCUGUUUUCUUUUGAUAUCAAGGAUUAUUUUGAUGAAGAAGCAGAAGAAGAAUCCACAAGCAAGGCUCUAGCCCCUUUGGAUGAAACCAUCAAGAGAACACUUGAGGAUAUAUCCCUUUGGCUAGGGUCAUCAUUAGACAGCUUGGUGGCUGAUUGUGGUUCAAUCCGGGCACGAUUUGCUGAAAUCCAAGCCUUCAUCCUAGAUGAUCUGGCGAACAUCAUUACUCCAGCUGUAUACCUCGAGCAACAUCAAUUCAAGCUGGAGAAGGCUAAGUAACGGAUAGCCGAUUGGCGGGAGUGGAAAGACAUUGAAGCUACCAUCCAAGCCAAUCGGCAACUCGUGCAUGAAGAGAAAGCCAAGCUCGAUCAACUCUCUGUUGGGCCGAUUCAGUCGAACAUAGAUCGGCUUGAAGCCCGCAAGAUUGAUCUUAUAGCUUAACUCGAAGAAUGCAAUGCCGAGUUGGAUCUUGAAAAGCAAAAGCUAGCCGAUCUUCCAAGUGUUGUUGAAGAACAUAAGUCUAGGCUGAAAUUGGCCAUUAGAAAUGUUGCCGAUAUGACUAAGUCCUUAAAAGUCAUCCCUGGAACUGAUGCACAAGAUACCCAGGCAAUCGAAGAAGUAGAACAAAUCAGACACCGGGCUGUAUCAGCUAUCCAGCAAUAUCUAUCUCAGUGACCUUCUAUGUAAUAGGACUUAGACUUUAUAGCUUCUUUUUGUAAUCGGCUAUGAAACCUUGAUUCUCCUUUUGUCAUUGAACUGAUGUGCCGAUUAAUAUAACUUCUCAAUUUGCUAAAAAUUUUUGCAAAUUUGCAACUUGUGUAUAUAUGUGCCCCCCUAAUUUUGCAAUGACGAAGACAUUAAUAAAAUUAUAAUCUGGACUAAGGGCGAUAUAACCAUAUCGGCCAUUGUACAUCGGCAAAACACAACCGAUUACAAUAAGAAAACAACUAAGGGCGAUAUAACCAUAUCGACCAUUGUACAUCAGCAAAACACAACCGAUUACAACAUAAAAACAACUAAGGGCGAUAUAACCAUAUCGGCCAUCUCAAGGCGAUGUGAACACACCGGCUGUCAUGUAUCGGCAACACCAGCCGAUCAUGCAUUAACCCAAACACUUGGGUAAUACUUCUUCAAGUAUUUGCCAUUGAGCGCUCAUCCAUAGACUUCUCCAUCAAGUCCUUGCAACAUAUACGCCCCUUUGGAUACAACCUUAUGAAUUUGAAGCGGCCCUUCCCAAUUCGGUGACCACUUGCCGAACUUGUUAUCUUGAGUUCCGAUCGGCAAAAUCAAUUUCCAAACAAGUUCACCCUCAGCAAAAGUUUUGGGCACCACUUUUUUGUUGUAAUGUCGAGCAAUUCUCUCCUUAUCCAUAGUAACUUUUGCAAGGGCUCUCAAUCUUGAUUGAACCAAGUCCUUUCAUCGGCCAUGAGAUUAUAAUACUCAUCGGCUGUCAACUCAUUUUGCAACUCCGUCCUUCUUGAGCUGAUUCUAACUUCCCAUGGUAAAACAGCCUCAUGCCCAUAAACAAGCUUAUAAGGAGGAACUUGGAUCGAAUCAUGACAAGCCAUCCGAUAAGACCACAAUGCUUCGGCCAAUCUAGUAUGCCACUGCCGAGGAUAAUCGGAAAUUUUUCUCUUAAUCAAUUUGAUCAAACUCUUAUUAGAUGCCUCGGCCUGCCCAUUGGCUUGUGCAUAAUACGGCGAAGAAUUCAACAAUUUGAUACACAUGCUAUCGGCAAACUGAACAAAUUCAUCGGACACAAAGAUCGAGCCUUGAUCAGUUGAAAUGGUUUGAGGAAUACCAAAUCGAUAAAUAAUAUGCUCCUGGACAAAUUGUAUAGCAUCUCCCGAAUCAACUUUCUUCAAAGGAAUCGCCUCUACCCACUUGGUAAAGUAAUCGGUUGCCACCAAUAUAAACUUGUGUCCUUUGCUUGAUGGUGGAUUAAUCAUACCGAUCAUAUCAAUUCCCCAACCUCUGAACGACCAUGGCUUGAUGAUAGGAUUCAUAGCUGAUGCGGGUGCUCUUUGAAUUGCUCCAAACUUUUGACAAUCUUGACAUCCUUUGUAAUAUUUAAAACAAUCUUCCAACAUUGUCGGCCAAAAAUAUCAUGCCCGCCGAAGCAACCACUUCAUCUUAUGAGACGAUUGAUGAGUUCCACAAAUUCCUUCGUGUACCUCGCCUAUCGCAACCUUAGCUUGAUCGGCACUCAAACAUUUAGGCAAUACCCCAUCAAUUGUCUGAUAAUAUAGCUCAUCAUCCAACAAGGAAUACUUCAAAGCCUUAUAGUGCAAUUUCCGAGAAGCCGUUGAGAUGGAUUUUGCAAAUAAUGAUGCACAUCAUACCUCCAAUCAUCGGCUGUUAUUGUGGCGACUUCUACUUUGACAUCCUUCAUCAUCGGCUUAUAUCCCGAUACCCCUUGGGCCAAAUCAUUAGCUUGAACAUUAUGUUCUCGAGAUACAUGCUUCAAAGUCACCAGCCGAAAUUCUUUCAUCAACUCUCGGCACUUCUCAUUGUAAACCACUAAUGUAUAAUUUUUGCACUCAUAUUCUCCUGCCAAUUAACUGAUCACUAGCAAGGAAUCACCCAUGAUUUUAACAGCAUCGGCUUCAACCUCCUUGAGCAAUUGCAACCCCUUGAGAACCGCUUCAUAUUCAGCCUAAUUAUUAGUUUCAUAGGGCUUGAUAGUAUAGGCAAACUCAAUACUUGCCCCUCGAGGAGAAAUUAUAACCAAGCCGAUACCACACCCAUGAGUGCACACCGAUCCAUCAAAAAACAAAGUCCAAGGCACAAUUUCGACCGAGCCGAUUGAGUCAUCACGAUGAUCAACAAUAAAAUCGGCUAUAGCUUGCCCCUUAAUCGCCUUUGGUGACUCAUACCGAAGAUCAAAUUCCGUCAAAGCAAAUAUCCACUUUCCAACCCUUCCUUUCAAAAUCGGAGCUGAUAGCAUAUACUUAACCACAUCGGCUUUACAUAUCACAGUGCAUUCAUUGGACAAUAGAUAAUGCCGUAACUUUGUACAAGAAAAAUAUAAGCAUAUGCACAACUUUUCCACAGGAGAAUACCUCAUCUCUGCAUCCAAAAGCCGACGACUCAAAUAGAACACAACUCUUUCUUUCCCCUCAAGCUCCUGAAUCAAGACCGAGCCAAUUGACUUCUCACCGGCCGAUAAAUAUAAUCUAAAAGGUAUUCCCCUUUGGGGAGGGAUUAAAACUGGAGGAGAACUAAGAUAUUCUUUAAUAUUAUCCAAAGCCUCCUGCUACUCUGCCCCCCAAGUAAAUUUUUGAUCGGCUUUCAGUCUCAACAAUGGUGUAAAAGGUUCUAAUCUACCAGACAAAUUAGAGAUAAACCUUCUAACAAAAUUUAUCUUGCCAAUCAUCUACUGCAACUUUGUAUUGUUCUCUGGAGGUUGAAUCUUUUUUAUCGCAUUAACACUCCUCUGAGUUAUCUCAAUUCCCCUUUCAUGAACAAGAAAUCCUAAAAACUAACCAGCCGAUACACCAAAACCACACUUUGUCGGAUUCAUCUUCAGGCCAUACUUCCUAGUUCUCUCAAAAACCUUCCUCAAAUCGGCUAUGUGGUCCUCUAUUUCCUUUGACUUAACAACCACAUCAUCAAUAUAAACUUCAACCAACCAGCCGAUUAGAUUAUGGUAUAUGUAGUUCAUAGCCCGUUGAUAUGUAGCUCCAGCACUUUUCAAGCCAAAAGUCAUCACAACCCACUCAAACAAGCCGAUUGCACUAGGAUAUCUAAAAGUUGUCUUAUGAAUGUCCUCCUCCGCCAUAAAAAUCUGAUUGUAACCAGCAUUACCAUCCAUAAAAUUCAAUAUCUUAUGACCUGAAGCAGCAUCGACUAAUUGAUCGGCAACCGGCAUUGGGUACUCAUCCUUGGGAGUAGCCUUGUUUAAGUCUCGGAAAUCAAUACACACCCUGACUUUGCCAUUUUUCUUAAUAACUGGAACUAUAUUGGAAACCCACUCUGCAUAUCGGCAUGGACGAAUAAAACCAACAUCAUAUAAACGUUUAACCUCAGCCUUGACAGCUUCAAGCAUAUCGGCUUUGCAUCUCCUUGGUGGUUGCUGAUAUGGUCUAACCCCCGGCUUGAUAGGGAGCCGAUGUUCAACAAUCAAUUGGCUGAGUCCUGGCAUCUUGUAAUAUUCCCAAGCAAAGCAAUCUCUGUAUUCUUUUAAGAGCUCUAUCAACUUGGUUCUGAAUUCCGGAGAUAAAUUUUUACUAAUAAAUGUCGGUCUUGGCCUAUCACCUGGACCUAUAUCAACUUUCUUCCUGAAAGGAACUUGAUGUCGCCUAGAGGGGGGGUGAAUAGGUGUUCCUAAAAAAUUAUCACAACUUCAUAGCAUAUUAGAGAUUAGAGAACUUUUGGUUCAAAUCGGAACUUCCGGUAUGGGAUAAGAACUUCCGGUCUCAACCGAAAAGUUCGGCGGGUAACGGAAUAAAACACUAGCUAUGAACUUGUUGCACGAAUAAACAAAAUGUAUACGAAUCAAAAGGUGACAAAUAAGGUAUCUAAGCAAGAUAUAAGGUCACCAACUAUAUUAAUUAAGCAUGCAAGUAGAUCGGGCCAAAACAAACUCAAGCACAAUAUGAGAGAUGGCAAGAAUGAGCAAACCAAGAGAAGAGACACGUUGAUUUGUUUUCCGAAGUUCGGAUCCAUGGAUCCUACGUCUCAGUUGAGAGGCCACAAGGCCGGGUCUAUUUCAACCCUUUCUUCACGAGGUUGCACAAAUGCACUCCUCGGUUUCACUCUUGAUUUCUUCCCUUGCGGAGGCGAAAUCGAAGCCUUCACAAACUUUCCGUGGCACACCACAACCUUGGGUGCUCACCGGCGACGCCUAGCCGUCUAGGAGACCUUAGUCUCCAAGAGUAACAAACACAAUCGAAGAUUUGCUUGCUAUGAACUCGAGUACUCAAAGUAUGGAGUGAGGCUCACUAGCUCUCAACUUCUCAAUCUCUCAAUCCAACUCUCUCCCCUUCUCAAAUCCCUCUCACAAAGAGGCACCACAAAGGUAGGGAAAUGGGGAUGGCUAUUUGGCUUUGGAUGUGUCUAAUACUCACCAUGAACAGCAGCCCCUCAAAGGAGGGGUGGAGGAGUUUAUAUACCCGAGCCUCUCAAAAACUAGCCGUUGGAGGCAAAGACAGGAAUUUUUGGAACAUCCGAAAAGAUUUUCGGAACUUCCAAAAAGCACAGAGUAAAACGACCAUAACUUUUUGCUCGGGAGUCCGUUUUUGAUGAUCUUGGACUCUACGGAAAGCUCACUUAGAAGACUACCCAACUCAACCAAGAACACGGUCUAAAACCACUCAAAGGAUAGGGUAAAGCUUAGGUUUCUCUCAAGGUAGCACUAUGAUAGGUCACUUUCAGCACCGAGACAUACACAAACACCUCGACGUUGCAUCCCUCUUAAUAGUACGUCAUUCCUAAACUCAAAUAUAAAUAGGAAGAGAAUUAUACCAAUAGGAAUGCCUUCUUUCCAUCUUUCUUUCAUUGUCUUAAGGGACACCAAUACCGAUACCUUUUCACCAUAUAUUUUUCAAAUGAUUGAUGCGGUUACUUGUAGCUUCAAAUGGUCUCGCACGAUCCAUCAUGACAAAGCCGUCACUCGCCCUUCACCACCGGAUUUGGUUCUUUGGCGCCAAGCCCCUUGCUUGCCCUUCACCACCGCAUAGUCCAUCGCGACCGAGCAUCGCUUGCCCUUCACUGUCUUGCCAUAGUAGCCACUUCGUAUCCCACCUCUUCAAUAUCUUUACUUUGUCAUUCUUGGUAUCGUUACGUGUAAUGAUAUCACUUGAACAUCAACACCUUUGUAAUCCUUGGGACCUAUUUCUUUUAUUCAACUCAAUAAAAUUAUUAGUCCCAAUGAUCCGGUUGUCAACCUCCACACGUUGACCAACCGAUCGCAUGUAUAAAAGGAUAUGAAUAAAUGAUGAGUAUUAAUCAACACCACAAGUGUCAUAUACUCAAACAUAUGCUCAAAUGUAAAGAUCUCAAUUAAAUGAAAAUGAAUAACUUGGAUCAAUUACAUGCAUAACUAAAGUAUAUGAUUUCCUCCCCUUAAAUAUAUGCAUACAAACUGUUUGUGUGACAAGAGUAUGCAUAGUAAGAUAUGAAACAUUGAGAGCUUAUCCUAUACAAGAAUAGAAGGCAUUUAUCAAAUAUAGGUAUUAAAAUAAAAACAUACCUUCACCAUCUCCAUGUUCUCAAUGUAAAGAGACUAAAUAAGAUAUGGUUCAAACAAAAUAUUAGUCUCACAUGCAUAUGUCAAUGACGUGGAAUUAUUAUAUAUGAACAUAUCAAUAUGUACAUGGAGAGAAAGAGUGAUACAUAUAGCUUGAUCUCCAUGCAUUUCAUCUUUGUGAUUUAGUUCCACCAUCAAUGAAUGUUUCUAUCUCAACUCAUAUGAAGUCCGGGAAUCACCUCUCACACACUCCACUUUCAUAUCCACAUGAGACUAGGCAAAGAAAUGCUUAUAAAAACAUUAGUCUGAUAUAAUUGGAUUUGUCAUUAAUCACCAAAACCAAAUUAAUGGCACUUGAACUUUCAAUCUCCCCCUUUUUGAUGAUUGAUGACAAAUCCAUUAAAAAUGAUCACAUUUGGAUAUGAAGGGUGAAAUCAAUGAUAUAAAUCAACAUGAUAUGAGAAAUUGACAAUUGAUUUAUAUCCAUGCAUGUGAUGCUUGUGCAUAUGGUGCAUAUUGGAUGCUAUGAUAGAUGAUGGUAUGCUUCUUUUCACGACAUGCACCAAAUGAAUGUGGGAUCCUAGAAUAUUUUCCCUUUGUAUAUCAACGAUCAUAUCAAAUGUAGGAUCCUCAAAUAUUCCCCCCUUUUGGCAUUAAUCACAAAAAGAUUUGCAUGGAACCGAAGAGAAACAAUUUUGCUCAAGCAAAACAAGAACAAACAUUCACAAGACCAAAAAAAAAAGAUGAAAGCUCAAAGCAAAAAUUUGAGAAACGGUCCAUUUAAGAAAUGCUCCCCCUUACACUCGGAGUCUUGUUACUUAGACAAGAAGAAUUAGAAUGGAUUUUAUUUCUAGGAGGGAGUGAUUAUGAGCACUUGAACUUUCUCUCGAAAUAUACUCAUCAAUUAUUUUCUCUAUGAGAGGAGUUUGGUCAAAGAUACUUGAGAGAUUUUUGGUCAAGUGAGUACUCUCGGCAAUGGAAUGACUAAGAUUGGCAAAUACCGAGUGCAAGAUGAUCAAAGGAUACUACCAUUUUAUAUGGACACUACUUGUGUAUGCAAGUGUAAAUUUGGAAUCAAGAAAUGGUAGUUGGCUUUGGUAGCAAGGAUCAACUUGUAUUUGGUGGCAAAGAUUGGAAUUUGGAGUCUACCCAUGGAGGCUUGGUUUUGAGAAGUGCAAAAAUGACUUUUGAGUUUCGGUGGAAUCAUAUAUCAUUGGCAUUUCAUAAACCAUAAGAGUUCAAGCAAGGAACACAUCCAAAAGAGUUCAAGAAUACAAUAAGUUUUAGAAACAACAAAGAACUAUUACUUGAAACUUUUUAUACAACCACAAUGCUCAAAUUUUCAACAAGACAUAUGCACUUUCAAGAUUAAUGUUCAGCUGCAUAUGACAUAGCGAAGAUGAUUUUUUACGAAGAGGAAAAACUUGUGAGAAUGAGCUCUGUGGAGAUUAUGGAUAUCCCAUAUCUACACGGCGAUGAUAUUUGGACUGAAUAUAGGAUACCGAAUAUAGAUAGAAUAUCUUAUUUGUAUCCUGGGUUUGUUUCUCAACUUGUACAUCAAGGAAAUACCUUGACACUUAGUCGGUUACGACUGUAUUUUAUCUGUAUCUGCGUAUUCCGUUAGGGAUAUAGAUUAUCUUUUGUAACACGGACUCCUUCCCAUAUAUAAGGGGGGUCCAGGUACCUCUAGGGGCAUAUGUUGAUUUUCUCCAAAUCAUACAAUCAAUAAGACACUCGGCGGAUUCAUCCCCGGACAGGAGUAGGGUAUUACUUCUUCAAUAAGAAGGCCUGAACCUGUAUAAAUCCUUUGUCUCCAAACCCAUACACUUUUCCAGCUUGAUAGCCACCCCCUUUUAUUAUUGCCGAAAUCUAGUUUCGACAGUUGGCGCGCCAGGUAGGGGUAGCGUCAAGCUUUUCGCCGAUCAGUGCAAUGGGUUCCAUCUCCGGCAUCGACGACCUCGUCUUCCCACCCGGGCAGACGUUUCGGUUCGGCAGCCUCGACUUCGUCACCAACAACUUCGGCAAGAUCUCUCUCCUUGACUCGGUGUCAGACCAGUCGGGAGAGAACCGGAUUUCAGUCCCGUUUGGACUCCCAAACACGGCUGAAAGUUACUUCAAGACCAUCUCAAUCGAGUUGGCAUCAAACCACUCGGGUGAGAUCGCAUCUUCUCCAACGUCACCAGAUCAAGAUGAUGGGGCUUACCCACCGAUCAUGAUGAAGCUCCCCGACGAUUUGGCGGCCAUCUCCAUCACGACAGCGUCUCCAUCCCGUAGGCCUAGGCGGAAGUCAGCUUCAACACCGAUUUCGCCUAGCUUCAGGGAAGUCGGCGUCAUCCUCCAACCACUCGGCACGGUUUCGACGGAUCAGCUGGAUGGCUACUACAGCUCUCCCACCGUCGACUCGCGCCCCACCGACAUCGUGGAGUACGACGAGUUUUGCUCUCGCUACAACGACCCGGAUCUCGACGACUUCGACGAAAGCCUAGAUGACAACUACACCCCUCUCUACUUCGGCGUCUUCAUGGCCGAUAACGAGACGGAGGAGCAACGCCAAGCCCGGGAGACCGAAGCACGUCGCGAGACUGAGCGUCGCCGACUGGAGGAGGAGCGUCAAGCACAAGAGCAAGAACGGUUACGGCGUGAGCAACAGGAGCGUGAGCGGACCGCGAAGGAGGCUGAGGAUCGACGGCAGCGAGCUUUGGAAGCAGGGCGCCGAGCGCGUGAUCUCAUCGGCCAACAAGAUGUUGAAGGGACACCGGUUUUUCGCACCCCUCAACAGAAUGCGGUUGCCGCGAUCACCCUCCUCGACACCCUCCUCAAGGAAAACGAGCUUAAUCAAUCUGAUCACGUCAUCAAUAUCUUGAACCAGACGAAGACCAUGAUUGCGGCUUCGGUCCCAGUUAACUCCGAAAGCGUCCACACGCCGACUGGCAGCCGAGUCCCUCACUUCCGAUCUCAUGACUACCGUCAUCCGAGCCUCAGCAUCACCGGCGCAGGAUCUAAUCGCAGGAGCAGGGGUCACGACGAGCGGUCCGUUCACUCACCUCCCGACUAUCAUAGGGAGCGCCGAGUGGAACGGCCUCGCUCACCACCUCGUCGCCGCCCCGUCGAUCUUCGCGACACAAUCAUACAGCGCCGAGCAGCUCGAGGUCAUCAUCAUUCGCCGGACCGCCACGACGACGACCUUGACGGAGUAGCAGCCUUCACCGACAACCUGCGUCGAGUGGAUUGGCCAGCCGGCUUCAAGCCGACUGGAAUAGAGAAGUACGACGGUACCACUAACCCAGAAUCGUGGCUUACCGUCUACGGUCUCGCAAUCCGCGCAGCAGGAGGAGACAGCAAGGCCAUGGCGAACUAUUUACCAGUGGCUUUAGUGGAUUCCGCCCGAUCUUGGCUCCAUGGAUUGCCCCGUGGUACAAUUGGAUCUUGGGCUGAAUUACGCGACCACUUCAUCGCCAACUUCCAAGGCACCUUCGAGCGUCCCGGCACGCAAUACGACCUCUACAACGUUGUCCAGAAGUCCGGAGAAUCCCUUCGAGAUUAUAUCCGGCGAUUUUCUGAACAACGUAACAAGAUUUCUGACAUCACCGACGACGUCAUCAUCGCUGCAUUCACCAAAGGGAUUCGCCACGAAGAAUUGGUCGGCAAGUUCGGGCGUAAGCCUCCCAGGACAGUCAAGCUUAUGUUUGAAAAAGCCAACGAGUACGCCAAAGCUGAAGACGCCGUCACCGCAUCAAAGCAGUCGGGUCCCAGUUGGAAGCCAAAAAAGGAUACGCCGGCUUCGGGAGGAGGUGGAAGUAACAAUCAUUAGGACCGCAAGCGUAAGCCUGCGGAACUUGUUGCAACCGCCAGUCACUCUUCUCGACAACGUUCGCGCGUCAACACGUUCGACAAGAUCAUGAACUCCCAAUGCCCGCACCAUCCUAACUCCAACCACGUGGCCAAAGAUUGUUUCGUCUACAAGCAAUUCGCGGAGCAAUACACCAAGAUUACACGGAAGAGCUCUGACGAAGAACAAAGCACGUCAAGGAAGAAGGACGACGGCGACCCCCCGGCAGGAUUUCAAGACCACCGCAAGGAGCUCAACCAUAUCUUCGGCGGCCCCUUGGCUUACGAGUCUAAAAGGAAGCAAAAGUUGACCGAACGGGAGAUCAAUGCUGUUCAGCCCGACACGCCCCAAUACCUUCGAUGGUCAGAGAUUGCAAUCAAGUUUGACCGCUCGGAUCAUCCUGACCGAGUGGUCCACCCGGGGCGGUAUCCCCUGGUACUAGACCCAGUGGUCCGUAAUGUCAAACUUCGCAGAACCCUCAUCGACGGCGGCAGUGCACUCAAUAUCCUCUUCGCCAAGACCUUGGAUGAUAUGCAGAUUCCUCGCUCCGAGCUAAAACCAAGCAAUGUGCCUUUUCACGGAGUAAUUCCAGGAUUAUCCGCAACUCCACUCGGCCAGAUCACCCUCCCGGUCACUUUUGGCACUCGGGAAAACUUCCGCACAGAGAAUAUCAGCUUUGAAGUCGCCGAUUUCGAGACAGCAUACCAUGCCAUACUCGGACGCCCGGUGUUAGCCAAGUUUAUGGCCGUCCCGCACUACACUUACAUGAUGAUGAAGAUGCCUGGUCCCCGAGGAGUCCUAUCCCUACGGAGCGACAUCAAGCAAGCCGUCACAUGCGACAAGGAGAGUUGCGACAUGGCCCAAACCCGCGAGAUGGCGUCUGCUCGAGAGGAUAUCCGACUGGCUGCAGCCACGGCGAGCGAAGGAGAAGUGCCCGCUACCAAGAUCUCAAAAAGUGGAGAAAGCGAAGCCAAGACUAAAAAGAUUCCCCUAGAUCCUUCUGAUUCUACUAAAACUGCUGUAAUAGGCGCCGAGUUAGAUUGUAAAUAGGAAAGCGCGCUCAUCACCUUUCUUCAGAACAAUAAAGAUAUCUUUGCAUGGAAACCAUCUGAUAUGCCCGGUAUUCCUAGAGAGGUGAUUGAGCACUCCUUACAUGUCAAAGAAGAUGCCAAGCCUAUCAAACAACGACUCCGCCGAUUCGCACAAGACAGGAAAGACGCGAUCAAGGAGGAAUUAACUAAGCUGUUAGCGGCAGGCUUCAUUAAAGAAGUCCUUCAUCCCGACUGGCUGGCAAACCCAGUUCUAGUUCGGAAGAAAACGGGGCAAUGGCGCAUGUGUGUUGAUUAUACUGACCUCAACAAAUGUUGCCCUAAAGAUCCUUUUGGGUUACCUCGCAUUGACCAGGUAGUCGACUCGACCGCCGGCUGUGAGCUUCUCAGUUUUUUGGAUUGCUACUCGGGGUAUCAUCAGAUCCGACUGAAGGAAUCUGACUGCUUGAAGACUUCAUUCAUCACGCCCUUUGGAGCAUAUUGCUACGUCACCAUGCCGUUCGGACUAAAAAACGCAGGAGCAACUUAUCAACGUAUGAUCCAGAGAUGCUUCUCAACGCAGAUCGGCCGUAACGUUGAAGCCUAUGUGGAUGAUGUAGUCGUCAAGACCAAGCAAAAGGAUGAUUUGGUCUCGGAUCUAGAAGAAACCUUUGCGAGCAUCCGCGCUUUCAGGAUGAAAUUAAACCCUGAAAAGUGCACCUUCGGAGUACCGUCAGGGAAGCUGCUUGGUUUUAUGGUGUCUCAUAGGGGCAUCCAAGCCAACCCGGAGAAAGUUACUGCUAUCCUCAACAUGAAACCGCCAAGUAACCAGAAAGAUGUUCAGAAGCUGACUGGAUGCAUGGCGGCGCUCAGCCGAUUCGUUUCAAGACUUGGCGAGCGGGGGAUGCCCUUCUUUAAGCUACUGAAGAAAACAGAUGAUUUCCAGUGGGGACCCGAAGCACAGAAGGCCUUCGAAGAUUUCAAGAAACUCCUCACCGAGCCACCAGUCUUAGCUUCACCACAUCCGCAGGAGCCGUUGUUGCUGUAUGUAUCAGCCACCUCCCAGGUUGUGAGCACAGUCUUGGUCGUUGAGCGCGAGGAAGAAGGCCAUGUCCAGAAAGUCCAGCGACCGAUUUACUUUGUCAGCGAGGUCCUAGCCGACUCCAAAACGAGGUACCCCCAGGUUCAGAAGCUGUUAUAUGGUAUUCUAAUUACUACCAGGAAGCUAUCUCACUACUUUCAAGGUCACUCGGUGACGGUGGUCACAUCAUUUCCACUCGGUGAUAUACUGCACAACCGCGAAGCAAACGGACGGAUUGCUAAGUGGGCCUUGGAGUUGAUGUCUUUGGACAUAUCAUUCAAGCCCCGAAUUUCAAUCAAGUCCCAAGCGUUAGCUGAUUUUGUCGCCGAAUGGACCGAGUGCCAGGAGGAUACCCCCGCGGAGAAGAUGGAGCACUGGACCAUGCACUUUGACGGGUCAAAAAGACUUUCGGGCACUGGAGCAGGAGUAGUUCUAAUUUCCCCAACUGGAGAAAGAUUAAGCUAUGUGCUUUGGAUACAUUUUUCGGCGUCCCACAACGUCGCCGAAUAUGAGGCGCUCCUUCAUGGACUGCGGAUUGCAAUUUCCCUAGGGAUAAAGCGUCUAAUAGUUCGAGGCGAUUCACAGCUGGUCGUCAACCAAGUUAUGAAAGAGUGGUCCUGCCUUGACGACAACAUGAUGGCGUAUCGACAAGAGGUACGCAAAUUGGAAGACAAGUUCGAUGGACUCGAGCUCAGUCACGUUCUUCGACACAAUAAUGAAGCCGCCGACAGACUUGCCAACUUUGGAUCCAAGCGCGAGGCGGCACCCUCUGAUGUUUUCGUCGAACACCUUUAUACGCCGACAGUACCUCACAAAGAUACUACUCAAGUUGCGGGCACUCAUGACGUAGCUAUGGUUGAAGCCGACUGGCGAGAGCCCCUCAUACGAUUUUUGACUUCUCAAGAACUUCCCCAAGACAAAGAUGAAGCCGAGCGGAUUUCAAGGCGGAGCAAACUUUAUGUUAUGCAUGAAGCUGAGUUAUACAAGAAAAGCCCUUCAGGAGUUCUGCAACGCUGCGUAUCUUUAGAGGAAGGGAGACAAUUGCUGAAAGACAUACAUUCUGGGAUAUGCGGAAUCCAUGCUGCUGCACGCACCAUUGUCGGCAAAGCUUACCGGCAGGGUUUUUUCUGGCCUACUGCAGUGUCCGACGCCGACAAAAUUGUGCGCACAUGUGAAGGUUGCCAAUUUUUCGCCAGACAAAUUCAUCUACCAGCUCAAGAGUUGCAGACUAUCCCGCUGUCUUGGCCGUUUGCGGUUUGGGGGCUCGACAUGGUCGGCCCGUUUAAAAAGGCAGUCGGCGGUUACACGCACCUCUUUGUGGCCAUUGACAAAUUCUCCAAGUGGAUUGAAGCUAAACCGGUUGUCACAAUUACAGCAGAUAACGCUCGAGACUUCUUCAUCAAUAUUGUGCAUAGAUUUGGAGUGCCCAAUCGGAUCAUCACUGAUAAUGGCAGACAAUUCACUGGCGGAGUUUUUAAAGACUUUUGUGAAGACUUUGGAAUUAAGAUUUGUUAUGCCUCAGUAGCACAUCCCAUGAGCAAUGGACAGGUGGAGCGAGCCAACGGCAUGAUACUUCAAGGGAUUAAAGCGCGAGUUUUUGACCGGCUAAAACCCUAUGCCGGCAAAUGGGUGAAACAGCUACCAUCAGUGCUUUGGUCUUUGCGUACUACACCCAGUCGGGCCACAGGCCAGUCGCCUUUUUUCCUUGUCUAUGGGGCAGAAGCAAUGUUGCCGAGUGAAGUCGAAUUCGAGUCUUUGCGCUUUCGUAAUUUCCGCGAAGAACGCUAUGAAGAGGACCGAGUGGAUGACUUGCACCGACUGGAAGAAGUCCGCGAAGCAGCUUUGAUUCGGUCGGCUCGAUACUUACAAGGGUUGCGGCGUUAUCAUAAUCGCAAUGUUCGAUCCCGUGCCGUUUUAGUCGGCGACCUGGUUUUGAGGAAAAUUCAAACUACACGGGAUCGGCACAAGUUAUCUCCUCUAUGGGAGGGGCCAUUUAUCAUCUCUGAAGUCACCCGGCCAGGUUCCUAUCGACUCAAGCGCGAAGACGGUACUCUCGUCGACAACUCUUGGAACAUUGAACAUCUUCGUCGUUUCUACGCUUAGGCUUAUCAUUGUACUUCCCUAUCUUGACUGUCAACAUCAAGUUUUCUCCUUGAAGUUGUCAGUCGGGGGCUAUCAUCAUAAUAACGUAGUGUGAUUUUUUAUCAAUUCAAUUUGCUUACUUGGUUUAUCAUUGCCUUGUUCGAUUUUUCUACUUAGUUUGCGAGGACUGAAAGUUUUUAAUAGCUUCUUUGGGUUUUAGGCUCAACAAAGCUUGAUAAAAGCUUUUAAGAAAUCAAAGACUUGGCUAGAAUUAUCAAGCACAGCAUAAAUACACCAGUAUUGUACAAGUUGAGCCUCCAUUUGCUACAUUCAUACUCACUCAGAAUCAGUCUUUUCAUCAUCAGAGUUGUUACUACUCGGCUGAAGGUCAGUAUUGCGGAAUUGAUCUACAACGUCACUUGCAAUCUUGUCAGCCGCGUUUUGAGCAUUGCUGAUAAGAUCAAGAGCAGCCUCUUCGCUUGUCCCGUCUGCAAAGCCAUCAAUGGCGUCAAUUUCAAUCCUCGGGUACAAGGAUUUGGUCAUCGCCAAUGCCAUGCUAGCUCCCAUACUUCCAGCUUUCUUGAUGUUCUUGAAAUAUACAUCCGGAGCAACUCUCAGCUUGUCGAAAAUUUCGGUUGCGUCGAGUGCACUCGGACCACUGUUAUUGAGGAACAUAGCUUGGACGAGUGGGGCAGCGACAUUAGCGACUUCAUCUCUUGCUCCUUCAAGCCUCUUGAUCUUACCAACCAGGACGUCGAAUUGAGCUUGAGAUUUGAUUUUGCGGUCUGCAAAACAUAUUUAUAAUAAGAAUCUGCUGCAUUAAAAAGAGGGAAGUUCAGAUUGUCAGCUGGCAGUACCUUCAACCUCCUUCAAGGCCGAGUCCCUUUGCGCAGCCAGUUCUACCUUGUCUCUUUCCAGGGCUUCAAUUUGUUUCUCCAUUUGAGCCAUCCUGGCGGCAUGCGCUGUUUGAAAUCCGAAUAGUUGAGGAUACAGUUAUGACAGCAUAAAUUAAUGGGACAGAUCUAGAGAUUACCUUUUGAUGAACCACUCAGCUCGUAGUUUGAAUCCUGGAGCUGGGCAAUUCGGUCCCUUAAUUCCUUCUCUGUCUUUUUGGCGAGCUCCUUGGCCUCGUGUAGCUGGUCCCUAACUGCUUCAAGAGUUCCCAAAUGAGGAACCAGCUUUUCUAAAGUUGCGGUCUUGGCCUCAUUACGAAGAUGGAUUCUCUGCAUGAUGGUUCAUGGUUUAGUUUUGCUGAAGAGAAAACAAAGUCGUCAAAAGGCAGUCACCCGGAAUAUUUACAUUCACGAUGCGAGUGGCUUCUCCAAGUGCCUUCUUCAGCUGGCACACUUCCUCAUCCUCUUUUUGACGAUUUAUGACGAUGCCGGCAGCUUGUGAGUUUUCAUCCCACCAUUUGAGCAAGAUCGGAGGACGAGAGUCAUCAGCCGCUUUUAUGCGAGGAAUCUCUUCUUCAUCAUCGCCUGGUGGUCCUGAUGUAUUUCCAAUACGUUAGACGAAUAAACCGAGGUUAUUUAAAUCAGCAUCACUUGAGAAGACGGGUUACCUGAGGAUGUUCCUAGCUGAGCGUGAGGUGAUCCUUGUUCUUUAUUUGGAGACCCAAUCAUCGAGUCGUUACCAGCCUCUGGUCCUUGAGAAGUUGUCGUCUGCGCUUCAACUUCGGGGAUUUCUUGAUCGAGACCUACAUCCGACUGGUUUCCAGUCGGGGGCUCUUGGGUUGUUGCAGUUUCAGCUGCUGCCGACUGGUUUCCAGUCGGCGGCUGGUCACUCGGAUCGGCCUUAUCACCCGAAGCAUGGGCGCCAGUCGGCUCAGGAUCCUUGGAUAAAUUUGGCUCUGUCACAGCCGGAUCAGGAUCUUUUCCAGUUGGGUCUAUGUCAGAUGGUUUCCUGCAAAGUGUUCUUUCAAUAUUCAGUAUUAUUUUCAUGAGAGAAGCGUGCCGAAGUGAAAUGGUACCAAGAGGUUUUAUACCUAGAAGAUGUUCUAAUCUUUGGCGUUGGGCGGUUAGCCAGUUUUUUCCUGGGCAUGGUACGCUUUGGGAGUUUAUUAGGCGAGCCCUUGUCCCCAGAUUUGUUGUCGUCGUCGCCUUCAUCGUUGUCAAGUACCAGUUUUCUCUUGCGAGAACCUGUCUGUCCAGUUGGAUUGGAGGUUUGAGGUUGCGGAUCUGAUCUGAUUGUUGGCCCUCCACCUCCCUGAACGGUGUGCUGGCGAGGAGACCGGCGCUGAGUGAUUGGAGGAUCAGAUUUCAUCAAUACAUAUUCCUGAAUGAGAUGCCUCCACGGUUAGUUAACUCAACAUGAAGACAAGAUAAUGUUUUGGUCAUAGGUUGAAGAUUUCAGAUACAUACCUGCGGAGGCGGAUUGAAUGCGUUAUAUGGCACAACUGGCAGCUGAUGUGAGUAGCUGACGACAAUAGCGUUUGAGAAGAUUUUAUACAUUCUCUCCUUCAUGAUUUUAAAAUCCAAAGAAUCUGGUUCUUCGCGGUUAGGAUCAUGCUUGCCGUCAAACUCGAAUGCCGUACGAGAUCUUUCUUUAAUUGGUGCCAAUCGGCAUUUGAUGAAGUGCCGAGUAAUCUGCUCUCCUUGUAAGCCUUGUUCUUUGAGUUUUAGCAUGCGAUCCAUCAACUCCAAGGCUUGGGCUGCUUCAUCCCCAAUCGGAAGAGAGUUCCAGGUAUCUAGGUACACCGGAGGAAGACAAGAGUACUCGGGAAGAGCAGGCUCAGGAUUCUGAAUAUAAAACCAGUUUGCAUGCCACCCUUUGUUUGAGGUUUUGAAAGGCAUAGAGAAGUACUUCUGGCUCAGAGUCCCCCUCAGCUGAAAUCCAGCCCCCCCGACUACACAUGGCUUACUCUUGUUCGGUUGGGGCUUGAGAAAGAAGAUCCGGCGAAACAGAGCGAAGUGGGGCUUAAUUCCCAAGAAGGCUUCACAAACAUGGACGAAAUUGGCGAUGUGGACUAUGGAAUUUGGAUUUAGGUGAUGCAAGCUGAUUCCAUAGAAGCUUAAUAUCCCGCGGAAAAAUUUCGAGGUCGGAAGAGCGAAGCCGCCAUAGAAGAAAUGGGAAAAGACUACAACCUCAUGUGUAUCGGGGGACGGAAAAGCCUCACCGUGCGCUGGCCGCCACCCGAUGAUCUCCUUGGCAGGGAGAACGCCGUGCGCCACCAUCUCCUUCAGGUUCUCCUCCGUCACGUCGGAUGGCGCCCAUUGGCCUUCAAAGCUUUCUUUCUCUUCCGCCAUUGAUUUUACCCGAAUACGUCGAUUUGAUUCGAGGGAUGGCUAGGGAGAGGUGAGGGAUUGAGGCGGUGGAUCACGGGAAGGAUUUUGAUGAACUUUUCGAAGGUGGAUUCGAGUGGAAUGGUAAACCCUAGUUUGCCGGCGCAGCUCUGUACUGUAGCAGGGAGUGGGGAAAAUGGCGAGAGUUCCGGCGGGGAAGACGAAGUGACGCUUGGAUCUUGGAAUUUCUUGUUAAGGGUAUCGGAGGUGCGAAUGGGCUUAGGCCUGAACAGUACCUCAGCCCAGUACUUUUAACAGCGUGGCCCAUUGUGCUCCUUAGGGACUUAGGCAUUUUUUGCUUUGGCAAUUUAUGCGCACAAAAGUGUUGCCCAAUGCUGAUAAAAUCCUUUUUACGCGGUCAUAUAAUUCUUUGUAAUUAUUGCAAUGCAAAUUAAAAGGUGCCCGACAGAAAGGUGUUAUGCUGUUUUUGUAAGCUUUUUUAGGCUACGAAAGCUGUCUGGGUUAACUUGGAAUGACUUGUUUUUUACCAUAGUCAUUUCCUUGGUAUGUUAUAUGCCUGUUUUCAUUAUGGUAAAUAGUCAUAGCUUAGGCUAGUAGACUUAUUCAUUACCAUAUUUUUUAUAAUAUUUGGUGGGUAAUCUUUAGAGUUUUCUACUCGGAUGCCUGUCAAGUGUGUUCAUUCGUGAACCUUUUAAAGUGUUAACACUCGGAUUCCUUUUAUUAUGGCUAAAAAGCAGUCGGCUAGAAUGCCUCUUUAGGCGCCGCGUAUGCUUUUGUCAUAUGACGCACGAUUGUGCUAUUGUUUCGUUCUCAACUAUAUGUUUAGUUUGUUAACUAAUCACAUAGUUGGGGGCUACACCUAAUUAGGUGCAUCUAUUCGAUGCACCAUAUUCUUUAUCUUUUCGCCCUUUACAGUCUUCGUCUUCGCUACUCGGCAGACCUUGGCAUGAAAAGUUUGAAGCACUCGGAUUAUUAUCUUUGAGAAGGCUAUGAUUGUUGACUGCAAAGGUCUCGGGGGCUACUGUGGAGAUUAUGGAUAUCCCAUAUCUACACGGCGAUGAUAUUUGGACUGAAUAUAGGAUACCGAAUAUAGAUAGAAUAUCUUAUUUGUAUCCUGGGUUUGUUUCUCAACUUGUACAUCAAGGAAAUACCUUGAGACUUAGUCGGUUACGACUGUAUUUUAUCUGUAUCUGCGUAUUCCGUUAGGGAUAUAGAUUAUCUUUUGUAACACGGACUCCUUCCCAUAUAUAAGGGGGGUCCAGGUACCUCUAGGGGCAUAUGUUGAUUUUCUCCAAAUCAUACAAUCAAUAAGACACUCGGCGGAUUCAUCCCCGGACAGGAGUAGGGUAUUACUUCUUCAAUAAGAAGGCCUGAACCUGUAUAAAUCCUUUGUCUCCAAACCCAUACACUUUUCCAGCUUGAUAGCCACCCCCUUUUAUUAUUGCCGAAAUCUAGUUUCGACAAGCUCGGACAAAUAUGCCAUAAAUCCUGGAGUUAGUUCAUGAAAGAAUGCACAAGUUUCAUUUUGGGACCAUUUCCUAGAUCUCAACCAAAAUGUAGAAAUGAAUCUCAAAAGCUUUCAGCCAACUGAAAAAUUCAGAUUUUUUCAGAUUUUUGAGGCUGAAAAAGAGGUUGAAAAGGAAUCCAAAUGACCACUGAAAAUUUUGAGUAAAUUUGGAAGUAAACUUCAACUGUUGGGGAUCAAAAGUUGUUAUGUAAGUUACUUCUAGUUUGCAUCCCAUUUAUGGAUAAAAACAUCUCAAAGUUUCAGCAAAUUGGAAGUUUCAGAGUUUUCAGAUUUUUGACAACUCCACAUUAGCUGUAAAACAACAUUGAAAAAGCGCACAAAUGACCUCCAACAAUUUUGGGUAAAUUUGGCAAUCAAGCUCAACUAUAGAGGAUCAAAAGUCAUAUGGUGAUCUUCUUCAAAUUUUCAACCCAUUUUAAGAUACAAAAAUCACAAAUCAGCCCAAAACUAUGCUUGUUCUGAAAAUUUCAGCAAGCUGAGCAAAACGAGAAAAAGUCAAAAUCUUUGCAAAUAAAAUCGAAAUGAGUUGAAACCUUGCAGAUAUGAUCUUAUACUUGUGAGGAACUAUUCCAAAAAGAAUUUCUUAAAAAUCUUUUUUUCUAUCAAAAGAAAAGACAAAAGGAACAUUGUAGGCCUUUAGGUUGAGUAAAUUUGAGUUGAGAGCUCAAAUCACAUUCAAAUUUUAAAUUCAUGGAGUUUGACAUUUAUAAAGCCUUAGGAGGGUUAUAGAUACACUUUUAAGCCAAUAUUCACAAAGAACUUUGGUUCAAAAGGCAUAACCCACCAUAUGCAAGUUUAUGCUAAAAAUGGUCAAGUCAAGAUUUUAGCUGAAACUCAAAUGGUUGUAGAGUUUGAAUGGUUGGUAUUUUGGGAAAACUUUGAACUAGAGAAAUGUUUGAAAUGAUCAACUCUAAAAGUUUUGUAUAGACAACUUUUUCAAAAACUCAAUAGAUUUUGAUUUAGGGAAAUAAAACAUUUUCAACCAAAACAAGAUCCUAAAAGAUCCUAUUGAGACCAAUUUUGCUAUUUUGUUUCACAAAUGGAAAUUUUGACUCCAAAAGCUUUGAAAAACAUUUGAAAUACAAAUUGGGAUAUUUGAAAGGAUUUUCACAAAUAUGGGCCAUUUAAAUAAGAUUUUGACUUUUGUCCAAAAUAGGCUCUUUUGAAAGGCUAUGGAUACAACUUUUUUUAAAAAAAAUCAUAUUUGGGAGCAAGGGGAAUAUGGGUUUGAUUCAAAUUGCUCCCCCUUGAUGCAACUCUCCUUUUUGCUCCAUGAAUUCAAGAUUUGAUAGUAAAGGCCGAGUUUUAGCAAAAGCUACAAAAGCUCUCUUUUGAAAUACCUUCCUCCAAAAAUGCGAAAAGAAGCAAAUGAGAUGGUAUUUGAGAGAAAGUACUAUGCACGAAGUUCAAAUAUGAUUUUGAGCCAAAAAGAUGUAUUUAUUUAGGUUUAAGAAAUAAACUCAACCAAGUGCUAGAAUGUGACCAUAUAUGGUAUAGUUAAGAUUUUUGGUGAGUUUUGGCAUCAAAUUUCUUUUAAUAGGUUGGUCUUUUGGAUAAGGUUCAAAAACCAAAAACAUUUGAAAUGACCAACUCUAUCUAACUUGUUUUGGGCUCCAUUUCAAAUUCCUUUUAGAUAUCCUUGUAGAGAGAAAAAUAGUUUUGCUCCAAAACAAGAUCUUAAAAACUAGAAUUUUAGCCAAAAAUGCAUUUUCACUUUACAAAUAGUUUUUCUUACAAACUAAAGUUUCGAAAACAUAUUGGAGACCUUUUAAAACAUUUUCCAAGUAGUAGUUUUUAAGAACUAUAGUUUUUUUUUUCAAAAAAUUGACUUUUGGUCAAAAUGGGCCUUUUGAAAACCUUUCUAGCACUUUGAUCACUUUGUUCACAUUCUAAGAGUUGUAGUGCAUAUGUAAGAAAUGCAAUACUUUUCCUUAAUGUGAUAUUCUCUUCAACCCAACAAAGAUAGGAAAAAAACACAAGACCGAACUACGAUCAAAUAUGAUUGACAAUAAGCACAAAACCAACAUGAGGCAAAUAUGAUGUAUGAUUAUGAUCAAACCUAUAGCUUCAUAUGCCACAUUUAUUAUGCUCAACAUGCAUAUAUGAUGAUUUUCAUGAGAGGGGGGAAUUUAAUUUUGGAAAGAGCUAUGAGAAUGGAAUGCAACAUACACAAGGUUAUAUAAAACAGAAUUCAAUGUAGAUACAUGUUACCGAUAUGGCAUUGGUUCUUGAUGUGGAUUUUGUAAUGGUUGGUUCCAAAUUCCAAACUUGGUGAGACCCACAUUUUCUUGCAUGAGCCAUACCUCCAAUGCUUCUCCAUGUACCUAUAUUAUCAUUUUAGCACAUUUUGGUCCCAAACAAUGUUGGGUCCAUAAAGGUAAGGCACACGGGACUUAGGCACCCAAAUGGAUUUUGCGCUAGCAUGUGGUGAACUAAUCACCCUAGUAGCACAAAUAUCCUUUUUGUCCUUCCUAAGCAAAUCAAAAUCAAAUGAGGAGUUUGGCUUAGGAAUGUUACCCAUAGGACAAUUUUUACCAAUAUGUCCCUUUGCAUGGCAAUUGUAGCAAAGUCGAUUCUUGUCUUUACAUGGUUCCUUCUUCACCACAUCUUGUAUCUUCCUUGCUACCUUGCUAUUAAGCUUCUUCCUUGAUGACACAAAGUGAUCCUUCAUGUGGGGGCAUGAUGCAACUUCAUGGCCCUUCUCAUUGCAUCCAUAACACUACCUAUUGCUUCUUCUUGUUCUCCUCUUUGGAAGUGUGGCUUGGUCAUCAAUCUUGUUGGAACACAUCAAGGCAUAGUGUCCCACUUUCUUGCACAUGAAGCUAGUAAUGGGAGUUUUGAUCCAACUUUGAAUUUGUCUCUUAUUCAUGUUGUUUUCUUCAUAGGACUUGGUGCAAGCUAAAUUUGAUCCCUUCUCAAGCUUCUUCUCCAUGUUCCCACGGUUAUCUUGAGAAGGUUGAGCCAUGCCCACAAGUCCAUUAUCCAUGUGAUUUUCCCUUUUUCCUACACAAUCCAAGUCACAUGUAGUGCUCGGGGAAAUGUUUGCUUUGGAGCAACAAAUGUUAACACAAGUAAAAUCAACUUGCACUUAUGGCUCAUAGGAUUUUACCGUUGCAAUUAUCACCUCAUGAGCUGCUUCUAGCAUAGCAUGAGAAUCUAUAAGAUUUUCAUGAGAGCACAAAAGCUCAUCAUAUUUUUCUUGUAGCCCGACAUGCUUGCUAGUACUCUCCUCAAGUUGAGAUUUGAGCUCUUCAUUCUCCAAAGAUGCUACACAAGCAAUAGAAUUAGUGGCACAAGCAAAUUCAUUUUCCAAUUUUUCAUACCUCAUAAUUUAUGAAGAAUUAGAUUCAUUGAGUUUCUUGUGUUCAUCGGCUAGACACUUGAUUUCUUCAUUCUUCUUAAUAAGGCAUGCUUGUUGCUUCUCAAUAACCCUCAUGAGUUUGAUCACCAUUGUUGUGUCUUUCUCGUUUAAGUGAUCAACCACGGAGUCAUCAUCGUCACCCAUAAAGCAUGCAUGAUCUUCGGCAAUGGAGUAUGAACAAGUUGAUGAUGAGGAUUCUUCACUUAGCCAUUGAUGUUCAUUCACUUCUUCCUUCAAAAGGUUAGUUCCACAAGUACUAUAGGAAGUAGAGCAUCCAUCCAUAUCAUCCUCACGCACACACUUAGUGCAAGGUGAUAUGUGUGAAUCAACAACACAAUCAAAUAUAACAAUUUCAUUAUCGGUGUUGUUGGAGUCCAAUGAGAGAGUUGGACGAUCAUCAACCUUACUCACCAAUUCAUUACCUUGCUCAUAGUUGUAUGUUGGUGAGAUAGAUGAUGAGGAGAGACCUUCUUGGUCGGAGAAGGUAAUCACUUGGGACUUGUCAUGAUGAGGCAAUGAAGUAGAGCAAUCCCCAAAUAAUGCUUCCACACAAGCAUCCUCUCCACCACAUUUGGGUUUGUCAUAUCUUGCCUUUGGUGUUGUCUAAAUGAGAUGAGCAUCCUCAAGUGGCAUGAUAGUUUUGAACACAUCUUCACUCAAAGCACUAAACAAAACAUUAGUAGCUUGAGCAUUGAGAUGUGUGCAUUUCUCUUCCUCUUCAAAUGAUAGCUCUUUAUCAUUAGGAGGAGAAAUACUCACAUCUACAACUUGCUCUAUAUGAGGACCCAUGGUCCUAAACACAUUAAGCACACGAGUACUCCAAGAUAUCUAAUUUGAACCAUCUAGUAAAAGGAGUUCAAGGAACAUUUCACCUCUUGUCAACAUUUUCUCUCAAGGCGGUGAAGCCCGAAAUAAGAGACCUUGCUCUGAUACCAAUUGAAAGGACCUUGAUGUCGCCUAGAGGGGGGCUGAAUAGGCGUUCCUAAAGGUCCUUUCAAUUGGUAUCAGAGCAAGAUAUAAGGUCACCAACUAUAUUAAUAAAGCAUGCAAGUAGAUCGGGCAAAAACAAGCUCAAGCACAAUAUGAGAGAUGGCGAGAAUAAGCAAACCAAGAGAAGAGACACGUUGAUUUGUUUCCCGAAGUUCGAAUCCACAGAUCCUACGUCUCCGUUGAGGGGCCACAAGGCCGGGUCUAUUUCAACCCUUUCCUCACGAGGUUGCACAAAUGCACUCCUCGGUUUCACUCUUGAUUUCUUCCCUUGCGGAGGCGAAAUCGAAGCCUUCACAAACUUUCCGUGGCACACCACAACCUUGGGUGCUCACCAGCGACGCUUAGCCGUCUAGGAGACCUUAGUCUCCAAGAGUAACAAACACAAUCGAAGAUUUGCUUACUAUGAACUCGAGUGCUCAAAGUAUGGAGUGAGGCUCACUAGCUCUCAACUUUUCAAUCUCUCAAUCCAACUCUCUGCCCUUCUCAAAUCCCUCUCACAAAGAGGCACCACAAAGGUAGGGAAAUGGGGAUGGCUAUUUGGCUUUGGAUGUGUCUAAUACUCACCAAGAACAGCAGCCCCUCAAAGGAGGGGUGGAGGAGUUUAUAUACCCGAGCCUCUCAAAAACUAGCUGUUGGUGGCAAAGACAGGAAUUUUCAGAACUUCCGAAAAUUUACAGAAGCAAAACUCAGUUUCGCAGCUAUUUUUGGAACUUCCGAUAAUUUUCGGAAUUUUCGAAAAGCACAGAGUAAAACGACCAUAACUUUUUGCUCGGGAAUCCGUUUUUGAUGAUCUUGGACUCUAUGGAAAGCUCACUUAGAGGACUACCCAACUCAACCAAGAACACAGUCUAAAACCACUCAAAGGAUAGGGUAAAGCUUAGGUUUCUCUCAAGGUAGCACUAUGAUAUAUAGGUCACAUAGCACCGAGACAUACACAAACACCUCGACGUUGCAUCCCUCUUAAUAGUACAUCAUUCCUAAACUCAAAUAUAAAUAGGAAGAGAAUUAUUCCAAUAGGAAUGCCUUCUUUCCAUCUUUCUUUCAUUGUCUUAAGGGACACCAAUACCGAUACCUUUUCCCCAUAUAUUCUUCAAAUUAUUGAUGCGGUUACUUGUAGGUUCAAAUGGUCUCGCACGGUCCAUCAUGACAAAGCCGUCACUCGCCCUUCACCACCGGAUUUGGUUCUUCGGCGCCAAGCCCCUUGCUUGCCCUUCACCGCCGCAUGGUCCAUCGCGACCGAGCAUCACUUGCCCUUCACCGUCUUGCCAUAGUAGCCACUUCGUAUUCCAUAUUUUCAAUAUCUUCACUUUUUCAUUCUUGGUAUCGUUAGGUGUAAUGAUAUCACUUGAGCAUCAACACCUUUGUAAUCCUUGGGACCUAUUUCUUUCAUUCAACUCAAUAAAAUUAUUAGUCCCAAUGAUCCGGUUGUCAACCUCCACAUGUUGACCAACCGAUCGCAUGUAUAAAAGGAUAUGAAUAAAUGAUGAGUAUUAAUCAACACCACAAGUGUCAUAUACUCAAACAUAUGCUCGAAUGUAAAGAUCUCAAUUAAAUGAAAAUGAAUAACUUGGAUCAAUUACAUGCAUAACUAUAGUAUAGGAUUUGCUCCCCUUAAAUGUAUGCAUACAAAAUGUUUGUGUGACAAGAGUAUGCAUAAUAAGAUAUGAAACUUUGAGAGCUUAUCCUAUACAAGAAUAGAAGGCAUUUAUCAAAUAUAGGUAUUAAAAUAAAAACAUACCUUCACCUUCUCCAUGUUCUCAAUGUAAAGAGACUAAACAAGAUAUGGCUCAAACAAAACAUUAGUCUCACAUGCAUAUGUCAAUGACGUGGAAUUAUUAUAUAUGAACAUAUCAAUAUGUACAUGGAGAGAAAGAGUGAUACAUAUAGCUUGAUCUCCAUGCAUUUCAUCUUUGUGAUUUAGUUCCACCAUCAAUGAAUGUUUAUAUCUCAACUCAUAUGAAGUCUGGGAAUCACCUCUCACACACUCCACUUUCAUAUCCACAUGAGACUAGGCAAAGAAAUGCUUAUAAAAACAUUAGUCUGAUAUAAUUAGAGUUGUCAUUAAUCACCAAAACCAAAUUAAUGGCACUUGAACUUUCAAUCUCCCCCUUUUUGAUGAUUGAUGACAAAUCCAUUAAAAAUGAUCACAUUUGGAUAUGAAGGGUGAAAUCAAUGAUAUAAAUCAACAUGAUAUGAGAAAUUGACAAUUGAUUUAUAUCCAUGCAUGUGAUGCUUGUGCAUAUGGUGCAUGUUGGAUGCUAUGAUAGAUGAUGGUAUGCUUCUUUUCACGACAUGCACCAAAUGAAUGUGGGAUCCUAGAAUAUUUUCCCUUUGUAUAUCAACGAUCAUAUCAAAUGUAGGAUCCUCAAAUAUUCCCCCCCUUUUGGCAUUAAUCACAAAAAGAUUUGCAUGGAACCGAAGAGAAACAAUUUUGCUCAAGCAAAACAAGAACAAACAUUCACAAGACCAAAAAAAAAAAGAUGAAAGCUCAAAGCAAAAAUUUGAGAAACGGUCUAUUUAAGAAAUGCUCCCCCUUACACUCGGAGUCUUGUUACUUAGACAAGAAGAAUUAGAAUGGAUUUUAUUUGUAGGAGGGAGUGAUUAUGAGCACUUGAACUUUCUCUCGAAAUAUACUCAUCAAUUAUUUUCUCUAUGAGAGGAGUUUGGUCAAAGAUACUUGAGAGAUUUUUGGUCAAGUGAGUACUCUCGGCAAUGGAAUGGCAAAGAUUGGCAAAUACUGAGUGCAAGAUGAUCAAAGGAUACUACCGUUUUAUAUGGACACUACUUGUGUAUGCAAGUGUAAAUUUGGAAUCAAGAAAUGGUAGUUGGCUUUGGUAGCAAGGAUCAACUUGUAUUUGGUGGCAAAGAUUGGAAUUUGGAGUCUACCCAUGGAGGCUUGGUUUUGAGAAGUCCAAAAAUGACUUUUGAGUUUCGGUGGAAUCAUAUAUCAUGGGCAUUUCAUAAACCAAAAGAGUUCAAGCAAGGAGCACAUCCAAAAGAGUUCAAGAAUACAAUAAGUUUUAGAAACAACAAAGAACUAUUACUUGAAAGAAUUACCAUAUUAACAGGGAAAGGAUUACCAUCGACCUUCAUCGGCUUUUUCGAGUCAUCAAAUUUAAUUUUUUUCCCCUUCAAUGGCCACCUGGAUUUGCUGUCUAAAAGCUUUACUGUCACGUCCCAAAACGACUCUAAAAUACAUCCUCUAAAUUAUGCCUAGAAUAAUUAAAAUCCAUGUGAAAGCCUCCAACAAUUAAAAUGUGCAAAGUUAAAAGUCAAAUAAGGCUUGGAGGAUUUUUGUAUAUUUCCUAAAAGCCUAAAAUGCGUAAAUAAAUUUUAGUGGAAUUUUCAGAGCACAAAUAAUAAUUAUUAAGAAAUAAACAAAGUUAAAAUGAUUUUAUAAAAAGAAAAACUCUAAAAAGUCCCCUUUCCCUCCCUCUCCCUCUUGGGCCGGCUCGGCCCAUCUCCCUCCCCCUCCCUCUCCUCUCCCUGCGGCCCAUCCGGCCUCUCCCCGCGCGCGCGCCGCUGAUGGGCGGGCCCGCCCGCCACCCUCGCUGACGGGUGGGGCCCACCCGUCAUCCCCUUCCUCCCGCCGCUCCCGCCGCCUCGCCCGCGCCCUAGCGCCGCCGCCGCCGCGAAUCCCACCGCCUCCCGCCGUCCCCGCGUGCAAUAAAGAGGGGGAAAUCACUCCCCGUGAUCCCCUCUCCCUUUCCCCCCAUUUUUCCCUCUCUCUCUCGUGUUCAAACGGGCGGAUUUGCCCCCGCAAAUCUCGUCGGCGCCAUUGAUGGCGGCCGGACCUCCCGCGCCUAUUCCUUCCCCGCCGGCCGCUCUCUCCCCCUUCCAACCCUAUUUAAACCCUCCCCGCACCUCCUCCGUCCGUUUCCGCCUCUCGCCGACCUUCCUCCUCGCCGGAAUCGAGCUCGCGCCGUCGCUCUCUCUCUCCGCCGUCGCCGCCGAGCUCCGGUCCGCCGCCGUCGUCGCCCCAGACCACCUCCCACCUCGGCGCCGCCUCCUUCGGCUUCGCCGCAUCCUCGCCGACCACGUCCACCCCUCCGUUUCGCUCGUCGACCACCGGAGCGCCGCCGUCCCCGUCGACCCGAGCCGCGCAGCCGCCUUCCUCCGCUCCGGCUGCCUUUUCGUCGUCGCCGUCGACCUAGGGUGAGCCGUGGACCGCCGCCUCGUUUCCCCCUUUCCCUCCCCUCUCUCGGCCGCCGCUCCGAUGUGCCCAUGGCCGCCGCCGGCGACCAUAGGGGCGCGAGCGCGCCGCCUCCCGCCGGCCGCGCCGACGUGGCCGCCUUCGGGCGCACCGAGCGGUUGCCGCGUGGGGCCCGGCCUUCAGCCGCCCGCGCCCUCGGGUGCGGCUGAUGCGUGGGACCCACGGCGCCGGCCGGUGUGAGCCCGAGUGCACCCUGUCCACCAUGGACCGUGAGGCUGCCGCGUGGGCCCCACUCUCGUGGAACCGGUCCGCGCGCCCCCUCUCCUCGGCUGACGCAAUAAAGCCUUUUAAAAUUAAAACUUAAAUGAAGAAAUUCGCAAGUAUUCAUUUAAAGAGCAUAUAACCUUCAAAUGGCCAUAACUUGGCCAUUUGAACUCGGAAUUGGACCAUUCAAGUCUCUAAUUUUUCCUUAAGAAGUCAAGAACCCAUUUUUGUGCUUUGUUCCUGCUUGUUAUAUGGAGUUUAUUAGAGUAAAAGCCUUUUCUUUUCCGUUGGUCGUGUAGACGCUGCAGCUUCGGAAGAUCCGCUCUUCGUGGAAGUUGAAGCCGACGUUUGGGAAAGCGAGCAAGACAAGUCACAUCAUCCUUGAACAUAUUGAAUCUUAGUUUAUAAAAUUAUGUUGAUUUAAAUUAUUGCAUUAUCGCUUUAUUUAAAUUCCCGCGUUAUCACUGUUUUAUCUAGCCAUGCCAAUUUACCUUUGUUAUGACCUUAUUAUUGUUAUUGUUAUUAUUUCCUUGUUCACCCUAGAAUAAACAAAACCCCAACUAGUGGACACUCUACUCAUGGUACCACUAGUAUGAUUUUAGGUAGAUGCUUCGCUGGUUAAUUAGGCAACAUUAGGUGGUUUUACAACUCUAGACUUUGGGAUAUUCAUAUCACCUGGACACUAUGGAAUGGUUGGAUUAUUGUGGAAUUGGAUUCACACCUCCCCCUCUAUUCAAAAUCCUCAAAAUGGUUUUAGGCUGGGCUCGGGGUGCAUGGUUUUGAUAGUAGCACCUCGGCCAUAUAAGGACCGGUCUUCGGGCCUCUGUUGCAAAGCACUACCGUACUUCCACAUGUCUAGUGGGUAAGGCUUAGUUUGUGGCUCAGUCUGGUUAUAAACAAAAGUACACGGAUGGAGAUGGACGAAGUCGGGGGUCGAUGGACAUCUCUAGGACAAAUGAAGGCUACACGAGCUGCGGCCCGGUAGUCGAGAUGUCAUGGCACAGGGCCGGUGUCCUGCUGCUAGGGGCUCAGUCCUGCCUACCUGUCCCGGGGGUUCCGGCCGUAGGUGGGGUUGGGUCGGUACUCUUGUCUAUGGCUAGGAUGGGUUGGAAACUAUGUCACGUCUUCCGUCCGUAUACCAUGGUGGUAUGUGGCACGUGGUUACACGUGAGGAAGAUGUGUCUUUUGGGUAAAGAUGUACACCUUUGAUCAGAGUAUAAUCUAUUCGAAUAGCCGCGCCCUCGGUUAUGGGCAAGCCGAGCAAUGUACCCAAGUUAGUGUUUUAAUUCUUAAAACCUGCUUAACAACUAAAAUGUGGAAUGGUUGGCCUGGGUUGGCUUGGGACGAGCUGGGACCCAGGGUCGGGUUGCCAGUUCGGUCUGAAUCAUCGUAGGCCUUGGGUUAAGGCAGGUUCGUGUGGGUUCACGGCCUUGAUUAAUAAUAUUGUAUAGCUCUGGAAUCGUGUUUACAAAAUAGCUUUGAGCAACUAAGUGUCUUUUAAUGCUGUUUAUUGCAAACCCUAACCCUUUAUAUUAUAACCCCCUUGUACUCCCUUGCAUUUAUCCUGCACUUGUGGGUGUGUCUUGUUGAGUACGGUGGUUGUACUCAAUCUUGCUCAAUUUUUCCCAAACCCAGAAGGGGAGCCCCUGGAAGAUGAAGGCUUUGGUGUCUAGCUCGCGCCUGCCGUCAAGCGCCUGUGGUCGUCGCCCUAGUCUUCCGCUGUUUUCCGUUUGUCUUUGUGUGUGCUGGGCCUUUGCCGCCCAUGUAAUAAAUUAACUAUUUACGCUUCCGCUUGAUAAACUCUGAAAUGUAUCAACUUUUGGUGUACCUUGCCUCCUGGGACAAGGAAUAAUACACGCACGUAAGGAACGCCCGUUGGGUUAAUUCCGGUCGUGACAUUUACAGUCAUUAGUAGAAUGAGAACCAGAGUUAUUCCAUUUGCAAUACCUCCUUUUGCCUAGUUCCUCAGCCGAUGGUAUAAUAUGACCAGCAGGAAGUUGAAUCCGCUUCUCCCGAAGUAACAAGUCAAAGAUCUUAUCAGCCUUGGUAAUAUCAAAAUCAAAUCUUUCUUCUUUUCCAGAACUCUUCACCCAUGGGCAUGGCACAACCUUUUUGCUCCUGACCCAUUCGGCUGCUGCUACUUCGGAGUCAUCAUCAUCAUCAUCGGAUCCAUACAUGUAAGGAUAGACAUGAUUGAUUUUCUUGAAAUUCUUCUUAGCCUCUGCAAACCUUUGCUCAUGCAGAGUUACCUUCUGUGCAAGAUGUGAUAAACUAUCAAACUCCUAAGAUGAGAACUUCUCCUCGAUUUGGAGCUAUCAGACCCUGAAAAGCCAAAUCGGCUAGCUGGGAAUCAGUCAGACUCAAACUGUAGCACCGAUUCCUCAUCUCUCUGAAUCUCUGAAUAUAAUCCUGCACAGCUUCGUCAUGAACUCCACUAUAGAAGUAGCUAUGGAAUUGUUUCUCCAAAUCGGCCCAACUAUUAAUUGAAUUGUACGGUAGAGAAGAAAACCAAGUAGAAGCCGUUCCGGACAAAGACAAGGGGAACAACCUGACCCUUAAGGCGUCAACAGCCGAUGCCUCACCACAUUGAGCUAUGAAUCGGCUGACAUGCUCAUAAGUCGAGACAUUGUCUUGUCCUGAGAAUUUUGAAAAAUCUGGAACUUUGUAUCGGUUAGGCAAUUGAACCCUCUCGAACCAUUCAAGAUAUGGAUGCCGAUAUAAGUUUCCAGUGUCCUUUGGUUUAAGCCCAAAUUGCUCCCUUAUCACAUCUACAAUCAAAUCGGCCCAUAGUCCUCUGCUGAGGCACCCCUUGCACUUGUUAUGGUAUAGGCUCGAAUUGAUUGAACUGAGGAGCAAACUGAGGCUGAGCUGAUCCCCCCUCUGAUACUGAACAUGUGGCGAUGGAGGCUGAUAUUGGUAAUUCAAAUUGCCCCCUUGAUAAUUCUGAAAGUUUGGUUGUAUGUUGCGCACCAAAUGUUCGGGAAUAACUUGAGGUAUCACCGAUUGAUCUGGUUGCACAUUAUGAACCAAGUGUUCAGGGACAACUUGAGUUGCGACAUGCUGCCUUAGCUGAUUAUCAGGCGUCCUCAACCCAGCUGAUGCAUUUAGCAAACCUUGCUGUUGAAUCGGCUGAGUAAUCUGCUGCCUUGGUGGCGUUUGCUGAAUCGACAGUGCUGGGUCGGCAGCUGGUGGAUUUGGCAAGAACAUAGCAGCCACCUGCUCCUGAGUUAGCCGAUUGACGUUUUGUCCACCCCGCUAUGGCUAUUCUCUGACCAGUAACCGUGGAUUGGUAAUUUGUCUUGGUGCCGAUACUGGUGCCGUCGGCUGAGCUGGUGGUACAUUAGAAGUACUCGGCUGAUUAUUUGUGAUCAGAGGCCGAUAAUUUGGGAAAACACCUCCUGGUAAAUAUACUGGUCCUGUAGCCUGAUACUCAGCUAUUGAACAAUCAACCAGUGACUUCACCAUGUUUGACAAGGUAUUGACUAAUACUCUGGAUUGAUUGAUCAAAGCAUGUUGCACGGUAUAGUCAAUCCGGUCUUGGAAAUUGUUGAACUGUGGUUGUAGUCCAUUGCCAUCUAGACCAAGAUCUUCAACUUGCCCUUCCUGAAAACCGUCACCUUUAUCUCCUGAUCCCUCUGCAAUGCCUAUACCGCCUGAUUCAUUUGUACCAGCCGGAACUUGUUGUCCUUCUCCAUCCUUAGAAGAACAUGUUCCAGGAACAUCAGCAACUAAUUUUACCUUAUACUUCUGAACAACUGUUCCAUUACGGGUCUCCAUGAACAAGUUCAAGAACUAGUGUUGUGCUUGCUGCAUCGUUAGCUCAAACUCCUUUUGCUCUGUUGUUAGUUUAUCUACAGUGAUUGGAACAAUGUUUCCAUCAUGAACUUCAGACCCAUUAGGCUUUGGAAUUUUAGUCCUGGGAGGGACCUCCGGCUGCCAGCCGACGACGGUGAUGGUGGUGGUUUCUCCGCCAUGAGAGAACGUUGUUGCAACUCGGUCCCAUCGGGCGUGCCAAAAUCGUGUUGAUGCGAAAACACGAGGACUGAGAGAUCUGCUUAACUCCAGGGUAGGUCUAAAAGCUUGCCUUUAGGUUCGUGAGCGUGCCAGUUGAUUUGAUCCUGCAAUCAACAAGAAAUAAAGACAAAGAAACCACGAUUAAAUCCAUAAAUGAUAGCCGAUCGGCUAGUUGCCGAUGACAUAUCAUUUAUCUUUGAGCCGAUGUCAUAUGUAGAUCGAUCGAUAGUCAUAACAAGUAAGAAAGAACUAAAUCUUCUCGAUCGGCUAUAGAUAUUAACAAUAUAUAAUCCUUAUGUCUAUAUAUACUUAAAUCAAGUGAUUGGGAUAGAUCGGUCGUCAUGCCGAGACAGUAUAAAUCACUUAGAUCGAAAUAUAUAUUAACAACAGGACUAUAUAUGUUCAUAGCAUAGCCGAUCAGAUAGAUCUAGCGUGUAUCGGCUAAUACUCUGAUACUGUUCUAUAUUAAGAUAUCAAUGCAAGUAAAAUAUACCGAACAAAAGCCUAAUAUAUUUAUGUACAACAAGAUCUUAAUAUAAAGGGCAGAUUUAACAUGUCAAUCAAGCAUAUAAAAUACUCCCUCCAUUUCACAAUGUAAGUCAUUCUAGCAUUUCCCACAUUCAUAUUAUAUAUGUCUAGAUUCAUUAAUAUAAAUAUGAAUGUGGGAAAUGCUAGAAUGACUUACAUUGUGAAACGGAGGAAGUAUAAAGUAGUUAAAUCAGGUAAGAUCGGCUGAAACCCCGAUGCUACCCUAAUCGGCAACCAGAAAGCAGGCUAGAGAUUAAGAUUCUAAUCACAACUUAUAAGAUCAAACCCAAUUGAUGCAGUUAUAAGUAUGAAAAGAAGGACAAUAUCUAGACAAUCAAGCCGCUGGAUGUUUCAUAGAGUGGUAGAUAUCCUAUAUAAUCUCAACGUUGGUAUUUAACCUGAUUGACUACCUUCUAGCGAUAGAUGUUAGCCGAUUGAAGGUUAAAUAAUAAUAUUGCCUAAGAUUAUAUAAACUAUAUGAUAACUCGAUGAAUUACAUAAACAAGAUUAGAGUAUCAUAAAGAUGGAAGCACUAAUCCCGAGAACGCAAGCCGCCAUAACAAGUUUUACCUCUAGUUGAAGAUCGAAACCGAUGCAGCUCAACCCGAAAGCAAGAACUCGUCGAAACAAAAUGAAAGUAAAAGGGUGGCGAUGCACCGAGAUUGUAUUGAACGUGUGUUGUUGUAUUACAUGGGGCUCGGGGUCUAUUUAUACCCAAGAUUACAAAAUAUGUCCGUGUUGGACACGACUCUUAUCUCUAACAAACUCUAAGAUACCAUAAGUCUUUGCGGUAGACUUUUGCCCAAACAUAUCUCUAAGGGAAUUACAUAAAAUAUCCGAAUUAAUAGAUACAAUUGCCUUUCCAAAACCCAAUCCGUGUGUGGCAAUCCAUAUGAAACACAUUAACACAACUCGACAACGUAUACCGAGUCGUAUUGUCGGAAUCGGCUCAAUCGGCUAACCUUGUCCGACUCAAACUCUGCCGAUUAUGAUCGUAGCCGAUUCGGACUUAGCCGAUUCUUGCUCUGUUUCCGAAACGAUCUUGAUCUUGGAUUCCGCUUCGAUCCUAUCUUCAUCUCCGACACUUGGAUUACCAAAUUUGGUUGUUAACAUCGGUAGAGCGUCAGCAAUACAUCCUUGCAUAGAAACAUAAAGUUUAAUUAUGAGAUGUUUUUACAGAGUAAAGUGCGCUCAUGGUAUGUCAACUUGGCAAGUACGGUGAAAGUAGUUAAUGCAAUAAAUUGAAAAAGGUACGAAAAAUUUAGUGUAAAAUUUGGUACCUCUUGGUACCUAGGUACUAUGAGAUACCAAAUUUACAAUAGAAAAAGUGAUACAUCAUGGUACCUACUCAAGGACCGUAAAAUUGCUCAUUGAAAAUAAUGUGGUGUGAUACGAUGCAAGAGGGUGGGUUCUUUGGUGUUAGGAGAAUGUGUACUUCUAACUCUCCCUGAAGCCUCAUAACUUUUCCUACAAGAUUUUGUUAAGCAAAUGAUAACGUCAGUAGCUCCAAUAACGAAUAGAGAUGCACAUUGAUAAAAAAAAAACAACUAGAGAUGCACUUCAAUUCCCAAUUAAUACCAGCAAGCUUAGAAGGCUUUUGGCCUUUGGUUGCUCACAAGGUAAGUUGGAUCCCUCAACUUUCUAUUAAUUUCUAAUUUGAGUCUCUCCUAUAAGCAGAACCUAUAAGCCCCAAAAUUAAUCCUAAAGAAGCAAUAAAUUCUCACAUUAGUCAAAAACAUUAAAUCAACAAUGUCCAUCUAUCCAAUCUAUUGAUCUUCUAGCACAAAAUAUAUGGAUUUAUUAAAACCAGAAUUAAUGAAGCUCCAGCUUAUUUGGUUUUGACUAUUAAUUACUCCCUCCAACCCACUGAAUAAGACAUAUAUGUAUUUUAAUAUUCAACUCUUUAAAUAUUUUACCAAUAACUAUUUUAUUAUAAAUUAAAUUUAUUUGAUAAUACCAUUGGAUUGACAUUUGAAUUUACUUUCCUAUGAUUAUGAUUUUGUUUCUACAAACAUUAGUAUAAGAAAAAUUUAAAGUAAAAGAUUAGUUUUGGAAACCGUGAUAAGUUUGGUCAUGCCUUAUUUAGUGGAACAAUGGGAGGAUAUUUUUUUAUGAUUUAAUAAUAAACACAAAGUGAGCAUAACUCAACUGGUUAGGCAAAACUCUAGAGUCGGCACUAAAGCACAAGGGGUCUAGCCAUGGUGACUGGGUCCAGGGAGUAAUGGGGAUCCGACCCGGUAAGGUGAGAGCUGUCAUGCCUGGUGCACUACUACCUUUCCCACAUUCUUUCUGGAUCUCCUCAAGUCGCGGCUUGCCCUAGAAUCACUAUCGCCACUUCUCAAAACACUUUCCAGCAUUUCCGGAGGCUUGAGCAAUGUGAGUUUGGGUGGAGGAAUAAAGUGGCUGAGAGAAGAUGUUGCGGGGGAGACAUCGGAGAUUGAAAGGGAUGGGGAUGGGGAUGGGAGACUCGCAAGGUUUUACAAUGGUGGUAAAGGUGGUGGGGAAAGCUCCAAUGGAGGACAUAUUCCGUUCAAGCAGGUGACAUCCACACCACAUCCACGCCACCUUCCCUUCCAAGGGAAUGUGUAUUGAGGUGGAGGAGGUGCAUUGGGCUAGGGAAGAGGCCCUCGACUACCAUAGCCGCACAAUUUGCUGGGUGUUGGCUAUUGGGGGGCGGGAGCAUCAGCGACUACCACAACGUGCAGAGCUAUAUGUGCCGGUGUUGAAGGAGAAAGCCGUAGCGCUGAAGCAACAAUUGAAGGAAUCGAUAUAGGGGGCGCAACAACUCCGUCCGAAGACUACAGUUCAUCAUCAUCGACACCAACAACAUGAGCUUGAUCGGCUUCGCAAGCUGAGACCUAGUGCUCAGAUAAGGCCGUGCUGGGAGAUCCUGAGCCAAUGGCGAAGGUCGUCACAAACAAGUAUCCCAAAACACUGACACCUCUAAAUAGGUCAUGUGAAAUUCAUUGGAUGUCUUUAAUUGAAAUGGAACUGAGAAGAUAAUUGGAAGGAAAGUUAAAAAUAUUAAUGAGGGAAGAGGAAAUAAAAUGAUUUCAAAGGAGUAAGUAAAAAGAGCUAUUAGAAGGGGGACAAUAACACCAAGUAUUAUCAUGGCAAAGCUAAUGGUGGGAAAAGGAAAGACACAAUAACAUAUGUGGCACAGGAAGUAGGGAUAAUUAAAGGGCAGGAGAACUUGUUGAAGUAUAUCACAAUUUUUUACAAAAACUUGUUUGGGUACUGAGAACACACCUCAAUGAAAAUAAAUCUGGGAGUAAUGUUCCAGUAUGGAGGAAAGCAAAAAAAAAAAAGAAGGUGUUUUUGAAAGAGUAAAUUGCACUGCCGGUCCCUAAACUUGUUCGUCUAUGUCAUCUAGGUCCCAAAUUCUCAAAAUGUAUUUUCAGGUUUCCGAACUUGUCAAAGUUUUUUAUUCCGGUCCCAAAUUGCCAAAACCUCUGCGGGAUCAUGUAGUGGGCCAUUUGGACGUUGAAUUACUUUCUUUAUCUUUUUUUCUCCUUUUUCUUUCUCUUCUUCCUUCCCGUUCGUGGGGGGAAAAGAGGAAAAAAGAGAAGGGAAACGUAGAAAGGAAGAAAAUUAAAGAAAAAUAAAAUUUUGGGACCGCAAUAUCCAUGUGGCAUGCCAUAUAAGCACAAUGUAUGAUCCUAGAGGGGUUGUGGCAACUUGGGGGACCAGAAUAACAAACUUUUCGCUAGUUCGGAGAUCUCAAAGUGUAUUUUGAGAGUUUGAGGAUCUAGAUAAUAUGGACGAACAUGUUUAAGGACCGGAAAUACGCUUUACUCUUUUUGAAAUGGCCCUGGUGGUUUCCCUGUCAAAUUUUAAAAGAAAUUCUAGGAUUUAAUAAAAGAGGACUCGAAGAAGAUGGUAUAUGAUUUCCAUGCUGCUCUAUUGGAUAUUAAUUGGCUAAAUCAUCGAGUGACUACCUUGGUGCCAAAAUGUAAGGAGGUAAUACAAAUACCAAAUUUAAACAUUAUUCCUUUUAAAUGUCAGUUUCAAGAUUAUCAUAAAAAUUUUGAUCAACAGGCUUGCUGAAGUGAUUCACCUCUUAAUUGCAAAAAUUAAACUGCUUUCUUGAAGCAAAGAUAUAUUAUGGUGGGUGUAGUAGUUAUUCAUGUAAUUCCGAACUAUCUUCAUACCUAAAAGAAAACAUGUAUUUUGUUUAAAGUUGCUUUGAAAAGGCAUAUGAAAGAUAAAAUGGUCUAUUGUAUAUCAAAUGUUACAAGCAAAAGGAUUUCCUGAUAAAUGGAAUGAUAGGAUAAAGGGAGUAAUGAGAGAAGGUAGGUGUGUGUGAAGCUUAAUGAGGUAGAGGGUCCAUAUUUCAAACUCAGAAAGGAUUGAGACAACUAUACCCUUUUGUCGGGGUUAUGUAUAACACAUACCAAUAGUAGUCGAUUAAGUUUGGCAGGGCCCACCAUAUACCAAGUCUUAUACGGAAUCAUACCUCGUAUAUAGAAUAGAUAGUGGUGGAAACGAGCCGCGGCUUGCAGUGGCUCGCAACAAACUAGACUUGGCUUGGCUCAGCUCAGAUAGGGAAACAAGCUAAAACUUGAGCUCGGCUCGGCUUAAUUCUGGCUCGAGCCAGCUCGAGCUGGCUUGCAAGCCUUCCUGUUGAAACACCUCUUCAUAUAUAUUUUGUAAUUAUUAAAAGAAGCAAGAACAAAUCAUCAACAUGUAAAAUCUAAAUAAGUUUAUAUAUUCAAUUCUUCAAAAUCUUAAUGAUAAAUUUCAAGUUGACAAAUAAUAACGCCAUAAAAAGUGAAAUAAUCGAUAUAAACACAUGAUGGCCUAGGCUUGCAAGCCAAAACAAGCAGCUCGCGAGCCAGCUCGGCUCGGCUCAUUUCAGCAACGAGCUGAAAAGUAGGCUUGGGCUUGGCUCGUUUGGCUUACGAGCCGAGCCGAGCCAACCAAGCUCGAGCCAAGCCCGAGCUGAGCUCACGAGCCCAAGCUUUUUUUCCACCCCUAUAUAGAAGAAGUUCCGGAUAAGGAAUGACAAGUAGAGUUCUAUGUGGAAACUAUAAGGACUACUCAGAUUGUAUCUCAUAUUGGUCUCCCUAGUUCUAUUUGGAUAAGCGGACAUCUACGGGUAUAAAUACAAGACCCCCAAGGAGGAGAGGGGGCACAGAACAGUUAGAAUAGACAGCAAUACGUGCUGCCCAACAUCAAUAUCAGAAAUAAGUCUAGACAUACCCAAUCUGGCGCCUAAGGAUGCCAACAAGGGGGAUCUAGUGCUAUCUCUGAUCUCGAAGGUGACUAGAUAGGUUUUUACAAAUAUUGUACUUGUGUGAUUAUGAUGAAUAAGAGCAAUAUCAGCUUCGGCCAACAGGAGUAGGGCAAUUACCUGAUGAAUAACGGGCCUGAACCUAUAUAAAAAUCCUUGUCUAUGUCUCUGUUACUUCAAUCUUGCAUAUACCCUGGGACCAACGAUCCCCAUACCAUGGAAAUACCAUAGUCGUGAUCUAAAACGUCGACACCUUUGUCUCCCAUGUUGUUUGAUUUGUCUACAGAGGCACAUACAAUCAUGAUGAGUAAUGCUGAAAGACAUCGCGUAAUAACUAGAUUGGCGUUUCAAGACAUAGAUUGGCGUUUUUUUUUUUGGGGGGGUGAUUUUACAAUAUGCAGAUAAUACAAUCCUUCUUUUAGAGGAUUCAUUACAGAAUGAUAAGAAUUGUGCUUGUUUGAAUAAAUGUUAGUGUUAAAAUUAAUUUCCAUAAAAGUGAUCUAUAUAGUGUUGGGUUAUCUGAGGAAAAGGAAAAUCUUCUUAGUUCUAUCUUAACAUGUAAGAAAGCGGAUUUCCCUAUGAAAUAUCCUAGGGAUCCUUUUAACAUAAGAGGAUACAAAACAAGGAUUGAAAACCCUACAAAAGACAAAAUGGAAAGUAAACUGGACUGUUGGCAAGGAAAACUUUUGGUAAUAGGAGGUAGAUUGACUUUGACUAAUGCUAGCUUAAGCAGUAUCUCUCUUUAUAUGUUAUUAUUCUAUACAUUAAAUCAUCGGGUGGACUGCUUUAGUGCUAGGUUUGCGUGGCAAGAGUAUUAGGGGAUUAUAAAUAAUCGCCUAAUUGGUACAAUAGGCCUGACCAGGGGGGAUUGGGUAAUUGAUCUAGAAGUAAUAAACAUUGCCCUAUUAUGGAAAUGGUUGUGGAAAUUGGAAAAUGAACAAGGAUUAUGGCAGGAACAAAUUAUAACAAAUAUUUGGAACAAUAAACUCUAUCUCAGGUCAUACAUAGAGCUGGUGACUCACAUCUUUUGUUUGGCCGAAUGAAAAUCAAAGAACUUUUUUUGAAAUAUUUUAAAACAAUAAGUGGGUUUACGAAUUGUUCAGCCUAAAAUUUGUGACCUACCUUUUUUUGUAAUAGUAACCGCACAUUCCAGCUCAUCCAAUGGGCGAGCCCACUUACACAUACUAUCCCACUUACAGUUUCAUCCUCGCUUCAUGUAAAAUGGUUUAUCCAGCAGGAAUAGGGUCUUAUAAGUUGGACCACAUAGGGCACAUCCUAAUUGGGCUAGGAUGGCACACCCCCUCCCCCUCAAAGGGCCUUACAUCCCUAUUGGUCCAACUUGCAUAUAGGAACACACCUAUGCCAUGUCAUGUGCUUCACACAGAGCCCACAUGGGCCAUGCGCCAUCUGCCCGCACACUAACCCAUAGGCGCAACCGUGAGGGUUAGCUCUGAUAUCAUUUGUAAUAGCCCACCCUUGCAACGGGCGGGUCCACUUACACAUACCACCCAAUUUACACAUAGCCCACCCAUGCAAUCUCGUUGCGCAGCUCAGUCCAUGCAACAGGCGGGCCCACUUACACAUACCAUCCUACUUACACUUUUGUUCUCGCUUUGUGUAAAUGGUUAAGCCGAAAGUGAUAUGGUUGAAGGGACAAGACCUUAUAAGUUGGUUCCACUCUUACUCAGGUGGUACUAAUCAAUUGCACACAACACUCAUGAGUUACAUACGUCACAUCCUAAUUGUUCAAGGAUGUCACAUCAAAUGAGCCUCUCAAACAAUUUCAAUCUAAUUAGAGUAAACACCCGUCUCGUGGGCGAUUCGGAAGGUUUAUGGGACAAAUUUAGAAAGAACAUUGCACUCUCACAGUGAAGAUGGAUGAUUUACAAUGCAAAUCAAUAAAUAUGGGAAAAGUAUGGUAUUAGGUAGAUGGUUGAAAGUACACGUAAAAGAAUGAUUCGAUUUAUUGUUGAGUGUUGGGGUUGGGGGUUCAAUCGAAUCAGCCAUAGCCUUUAAGAAGUAGUUGGUCUUACCUCUCCACAGGCCUUCUCCACGUUCUAUUAUGUUUGAGAUCAAUUAGGACAAAAGAAACCUCGUGCCUAGGCAAGGAAAGACAAGAACAACCUUAAUUAAACUCAGACUUGGGGUUGUCGGGUCCAACCAACGGAACACCUGCGGUCUGACCAUAGGUCACCCUCCAGUACGGCCGGCCUCCAUGGGAAAGCUCCGGUUUAUUCAAAAUUUGAUCCAAAAUUUCUAUAAAUUUGGCCUAGUGCUAAAUUUUGUUGUCAACAAUAGGAAAGUAGAUAUCCCUUCUAAAAGAUCUGGAAAUUUAAGAUUCCAGUCAAAAUCAAAGUGUUCACUUGGUUAGCUCGUAGAAACAAUGUCCUGACUGAAUAUAACCUCAUUAAAAAGAAAUGGAGAAAAGGUAACAACAAAUGUCAGUUCUGUAACGAGAAAGAAACAAUUGAUCGUAUGCUUUUCCAUUGCCAUUUAGCUAGGUUUGUGUGGAAUAUUUUGAAUUGUAUCCUUUUUGCCUAUAGUACACCAAACUGGAUGCAAAAUCUAAUGGGUGCCUGGCUAAUCAAAUUCAGUAAGAGGGCUAGUAGGCUCAUUGUUGUAGGGAUCGCUGCAGUACUAUAUAUGGUCGAUCUGGAAAUUGAGGAGAGCUUGCCUUUAUACUUCAUAAUGAUCCAAUUGAAGUUGUUUUUCAAGUUACUUACCACAUCUCCAAUUGAGCCAUGUUGCAGAGCAAGGAGGCAGGGGCAAGAAACCUUCAAGAAGGGGCCAGGCGUGAGCGAAAAGUGAGAUCUAUGGUGCUUACCAUGGAUGGAGCUUCAGAUCAAGGAGGUUGCAAUGCUAAGAACACAAAAGAACAAAGAGGCUGAUGUCUUGCUGAGGGUUUGUUGUGGCUAUUCUGAUUUCUUUCUGAAUGUAACAAGGGUUUUUGCCAAGUAGCUGUUGGGAACAAACUUUUUUGGUAGGUUGUGUUUGUAAUGGUAGUUGUCUAGAAACAUGAAAACUGCUAGUUACUCUCCCCUAACCAUGGUGGAUGAAACCUAGAAAAGAGGAGUGGUAAAGUUGGCGAGUUGGCGAGUUGUUAUGAACUUGGGUUACUUGUACCUUCUCAUUUUGCUUAGUGGAAAUAGGGGGUUUGCUCUCCUAGUUUUUUUUUUUGAACAAAAAAACUCAACUAAUAAGAUUCCUGGUGGUAAAACCAAUCCAGUCAUCAGAGAUGCUCAUAAAGUUAGUGGAUUGUGAAUCGACCAUGCACAGGUUCAAUACCCAUUAUCUGCUCAUACCAUUAUCCCAAAUUCCAAAAAAUGCAAUUUUUUUAACGGUCUAGUUACAUAUUUACUUACAGCAACGAGAGCAGGGUGUCAACACUGACUUUGUUAAUCAUAAAAUAUGUCGAACCAAUUUUCGAAGAUGCUUAUAAGAGUAAUAAGUUUAACAGUAGAGGUAGCUAACUAGUUGCGAUAAGUCAAUCUACGAUUUAACAUAUAUAAUAGAUUAUUCAUAAGGUUAUCUCUAAUUUUCUUCUCCUCUAUCUAUGUAAUUAAUGCAUUUGCUUAGGAGAAUGUAUAUAGCUAGCACUCAGCAUUUUCCUUGUUCUCUCUCCUCCACGAAAGUACUCCCUCCGCCCCUAAAUAUUUGACGUCGUUAACUUUUUUAAAACUGUUCGUCUUAUUCAAAACAUUUUAGUAAUUAUUAAUUCUUUUCCUAUCAUUUGAUUCAUUAUUAAAUAUACUUUUAUGUAUAUAUAUAGUUUUAUAUAUUUCACAAAAAAAAUUUCAAUAAGAUGAACUGUCAAACAUGUUUAAAUUUUAAAAAGUCUAUGGCGUUAAAUAUUUAGGGACGGAGGGAGUAUAUGGUUGGCCUACAUUCUAGUACUACUGAUGGGGCUACGUACAUGCACGUGGACGUUCAGGUAGACAAGUGCGCGCACAUUUACGUUUGCUGGCAGCUAUAAUGUGUUAUGAAAAUAGAUGCACAACGGAGAUACGAAUUUUUACGUGGAAAACCCUAGUGGAAAAAAACCACGGACGCCGACCGGCAAUGAUCACUAUAGAGGAAUUGGAUACAAACAUAGGGAUACAUUGGGCUGUGACACCCUCACCGUGCGGCUUACAAUAAAAUAUAUAUAGGAGAAAUCUAGAAGGCCGAGUGGAUAAAGACUUAGAGUCAUACUAGGAAACUAAUCCUAAUAGUCAAGUUCUAUUACGAAUUGGAGCAGGAAGAGAUCUUCGAAAAGUAGGUUUUUAUGAUCCGAUAAAGAAUCAAACUUAUUUAAAUGUUCCGGCUAUUCUCUAUUUCCUUGAAAAAGGUGCUCAACCUACGAGAACAGUUUCUGAUAUUUUAAGGAAGGCGGAAUUCUUUAAAGAAAAAGAAAGAACUUUGAGUUAAUUGAAGAACUAAAUGAAUAAAAAACUAGGAGAGGCUCACUAGUAUCCCUUGUUGUCUAACUAUUAGAAAUAAUUUGCCUCUUUCUUAAUCCUAUUUUUGACUGGAUUUAUGUCGUGCUAUUCCAAGAUAAGCCUUUAUUUUUUUGAGUUUUUCUAUCUAAUUUUUUUCUUACCAUUGUAUUUCCAUUGAAAAAGGUCCAUUGAACAUAAUCCGAAUAUAUUGUGGGUCCAAAAUUCGGAACACAUAUUUAGCAAUUCUCCACCUUGAGACGAAUUUCCCUUGUAGCAUAAAAAUCUUCAAUCUCCAAAUAACCUCACGUAUGAGAUAAAAUCACUGUGCGCCAAAUAAUCUCCAUGACUAUACUGUAACACCUUUGAUCCAGAAGAGGUAGAUCAUACUAAAAACUCGCCAUUGGGAACAAAUCCUGAAUUUAUUGGUAUGACAUUGUGGAACCCAAUAGAGACGCGAAACUGAUGCACAAACUUUAAACUGACCAUGGGAAUAAAACCAUGAAUCUGCUGGCAUUAAUUUCUGAAAUCCUAGCAGAAACACGAAAAAUUCUUGUGCUCGAAACGAAAUACUUAGAUCUCCUUAUUAACCUUCUGAUACGUUGGGCAAACGGACAUAGCAAUUCCGCCAGAAAUUUGACCACCUCCACGUGAUCUGGGCAGGAACCUUGAGGCUCCCUCUCGACGACUAAACUUGUGUGUCAUGAAAUAUGUAUGCGCAACUGAUAGACUGAAGUAUGUAUUAGCUUCUCCUCCAUAAUAGAUGUGCCAACUUGCAUCUUCAGUUGCCAUAAUGAGAAUAUUACAUCUCAAUCCAGGAGCGGUAGAUCAAACUUCACUCGCCUUAGGAAUAAAAUCCUUAAUCUGCUGGUAUAAUUUGGGGAACCCUAGUAGAAUCGCGAAACACUCUAGGUGCAAAAACGAAGUAAUUGGAUCUCCGUACAGAACCUCCUGGGAAACUUGGCUUUGUGAACCUAGCAAUUGAACUUGAAUUUGUAUUCCCCUGAACCGAACCAGAACAAUGCACUGGACUUGAUUUCCCGGCCGUGAAUGCCUAGCAAAAACAACGUGAAAUUGAAUGCACAUCAACAGAACAUAUGGCGAAGCCCUAACCUUGGUUAACUUGAUUUUCCUCGGUAGAUGGCCUGCGCUUCUACUGUAAAGAUUUUGACUCCACGUCUCCGCUUCCGUCUUGAUAUGAGUCUUGACGUCGAAACAUAUAUAUAAUUCAUCUGUCGAAUCCCGCUUUGGACGGCAGCAACUUCAUCUCUGGAACAGAUGAAUCAACCUCGUCGAAUAGAAUCGGCAGAACUCGGCCAGCUCACCGAACAGAUUAAACCUGCACGAUGACGAUCUCCACCGCAACUAGGUAGCAGAUCUAUCUCCCAAUCAAACGAACAACGACGCCGACGUGGAUGAUGAACACGGCAGCGGGGGAAUUGCGGAUCGGAUCUCCAACGCUCUGAUACCACUUGCUAAAAAAAUAGAUGCACAACAGAGACACGAAUUUUUACGUGGAAAACCCUUGCGGGAAAAAUCACGGGCGCCGACCGGCAAUGAUUACUAUAGAGGAAUUGGAUACAAACACAGGGGAUACAUUGGGCUGUGUCACCCUCCCCGUGCAGCUUACAUGAGAUAUAUAUAGGAUAAAUUUAGAAGGCCUAAUGGAUAAAGACUUAGAGUCAUACUCCCUCCAUCCCAAAAUAUUUGAUGCCGUUGACUUCUUUAAACAUGUUUGACUGUUCGUCUUAUUCAAAAAAUUUAAGUAAUUAUUAAUUCUUUUCCUAUUAUUUGAUUCAUUGUUAAAUAUAUUUUUAUGUAUACACAUAAUUUUUCAUAUUUCACAAAAAUUUUUGGAUAAGAUGAAUGGUCAAACACGUUUAAAAAAGUCAACGGCGUCAAACAUUUAGGAAGGAGGGAGUACUAGGAAAUUAAUCCUAAUAGUCAAGUUCUAUUAGGAAACUAAUUCGAAUAUAUUGUGGGCCCAAAAUUCGAAUCACAUAUAUUUAACUAAACAGUGUUUCCAAAAGAAAAUCGAUUUAAUAACACAUAAUCUAUCAUUAGUUAGAGCAGGUACAAUAACAGACUAUUAGCCAAGUAUAAACAUAUUUUAAUGAGAUAAAAGAUAAGAGAUAAAAGCAGCGGGCUAUAGAUUUGUAGCCAGCCACAACGCGGACUCCAAGACGCAAUAUGUGUAUGACAGAUGGGACCAUAUAUUAAUAGUAUAGUAAGCACCUAUUGUAUAAAUUGGCUAUUAGAUUGGCUAUAAAUAAAUUGAAGCUAGUAGUUGGCUAUACCAUAAAACUUAAACUUGCUCUUAGCACACUGCUACGUCGUGAUGCUGCCGCACGUACGUGUUCCUUGGUUGGUCUGGAUUGCAUCUCGGUACAUGCACGCUGCAUAUUGAUCUGCUAGCUGCUCCGUCUUGUGCGCACGCGCGCGUCACGUGCGCGCCGGCCACGAGGCCGGGGCGCUCGAUCGGCUCGCUGGUGGCGUCGUCGACGUCGGCCCUCGUGUCCGCGUGUCCACCGGCGUGCGUCGCGCGCAAGGUGUCGCUCGGUCUCCGCGAGAAAAUAAUCUCCCGGGUUCCUCGAGAUUCGAGGCCGCCUGCCUGCAGCGAAUCAGCCGACGGAUCUCGCGUGCUCGCGACUGGCGUGGCGUGGCAAGAUUCCGCGCGCCGCGCGCGGGGCGCCAGAACGACCAUGCGUGGCCGCCGUGGCUACAAAAAGCCGCUGCUAGCUAGCUCUCGCUCAGCUCAACAUUACAUCCGCGCGCUCCUUGUGUUUUCCGUUAUACCCAGGACUAGACCUUUCAUCGAGCAGCUGGUGUGCCGCCCGCUGCUAGCUCGUCGGCUCUGCUCUGAUUCACCACCACCACCGCCGCGGCGCGCGGCGACUAUCCGAUCUCCGCUGCUCGUCUGGCUUCUUCUAGGUGAGAGACCCCUUGCACCACACUGCCGCUGUUCGGUGGACGCCGGAGAGCUCCUGUGACUUCUCAUACUCCAUAUAACAUGUUAUUAUUGUGUUGUUUGGGCAGAUAGCAAUAUAUAUAGGGUUCAAUUCCUACCCCAAGCAUUUUAAAGCCAUGAAGAUUGAUCGCGAUUUCCACAUGAUGAAAGGGGAUGACGAGUUCAGCUAUGCCGAGAAUUCUAGGAUACAAGUUUGUACCAACCCUACCUUUAUUCUAUUUGUGUCCUUAUUAGUUGUUGUUUCAUUUAUCACAAGCUACACAUAUAUAUGCUGUCCUGGGAAAAAAUAUUAAGCAAUUUAUCUCCAACACUAUAGAUUGUACUCAGUAGUAAUAUAUAAAGAGAGCAUAUGGGAUAACUGCUAAUAAACAUUUGUUUGUACAUAUGUAGUACAUGUUGAGUAAAUUAACUAGAGUUAUGUGCCAAAUCGGCAACAGCACCACACUUUCUUCUCACUUUCACGUCGGAUGGAGUGGUAAUCGGUCUCACUUUUAAACCUACAAAGUUUUAGUUGUGCGAAAAGAAAGGUGGGCUAAAUUUUUGGAGAUUUUUUUUAUCUAAGAAUAUAUGUCGGCUAAAUUGGGUUGUGAAAGAUCCAUGGAUUGUGGUCCGUUACUACCCCUUACCGCGGAACUGCAUUAGAGUUGGAAAAUCCAAGAGUAAUAUUUCUUUGACAAUAAUUUUUGUUUUACUUUUUGCUCCAUAUCUUUUUAGAGAAGAGCUAUUCUUACAACCAGGCCAAUGGUCGAGAAAGCUGUAAGAGAAAUGGGCAGUGAUCUUCAUCCUCAAUCAAUGACCAUUGUUGAUCUAGGUUGCUCAUUCGGUGCCAAUACACUCCUCUUUGUCUCCGAUGUGAUCACCACAAUAUGUGAAAAUGGUAACAAUGCUAUCGAGGAGAGCGCCAUGGAGAUCUAGUUCUUCCUCAAUGACCUACCUAGCAACGACUUCAACCACAUAUUCCAA